UUUUAUUUAAGACUAAUCUAUGUGGUCACCUUAUUUCUAAGACAUUUUAAAAGCUAUUUUUAGUUAAAGAUUUUAAAGUUAAAUAACAGUCUUACAAAGAACAAGUGUUAUCAGCAUUGAGAGAGGGAGUACAAAGUUUUGUGGUGUACCUAUCGGGAAAAAAAAUGGUUUUGUGAUGUUGCACUUUACAAGUUCUGAUUAGUACAAAGACAGAAGAGAAGAAAUUCGUAAACAAGCAAGAAUGGCCCUUCUGGCCUAAUCAAACACCUCCAUAAUAACACAACUUUUUUUUAGAUCAACAGGCACGAUUUGUUCAUGGCAGGGCAGAACUCUCUCUUAGAACAGCACAAUAUCCAGACACAAUCCUUGGAUGCCUAAAACCAACAAGGGAAAGAAAAGAAGCUUAAAACCAUUUGGUGCAGCUAAAGGCCCCAACGUCAAGCUUGUUCAGUCAGUCUCACAGCAUGGUACAGCAAAAGACAAAGCAUCGGCCUACAGGAGAAGACAGAACAGGAUUCACAUCUAAAGUUCAAUGCUUUCCUAAAUAAAACUUGCUACUCGUCAUCCGAUUAGCUGGAUAAGUUUCCCCACGAUGAGUUUCUAUAUGCUCUGCAUCUGGGAGAAUGAGAUCCUGAUCGUGUUACCCUCCAGCGAGGUGGCAUGUUUUGAUACAAGGGCUUCGGUCGCCUCCUCUUCGCUCUCGAACUGGAUGAGCGCCUGCCUCUUGCCGUUCACCUCAAACAGCUUUGUGUUUACAACAGAACCAUGCUCUGAAACAUGGUUAAGAAUCGCAUCCUCCGUGAUCUCUUGUGGGAGGGCUGAAAUGUGGAUCAUUUUGGUUGGAGCGCAGCAGUGACGGUAGUUCUUGAUUACAUUGCUGUUGAACCUGUUAAGACUUGAAGUCGUGUAGUCGUGCGCAUCAGGAGCGCUUGUUAUAUUUGGGUACUUUGAGUAGUUAACCUCGAGCUUCUUUGCAAAUAGCACUGCCCCCUGUGAAAAACAUUGGCAUCCAAAAUGCGGCAAAACAGUAAUCAUACAUAUGAAAAUAGAAAAUUAGUUUUACUCAAUGCAAUGAAGCAGAUAAUUGCGAAUAUGAGAGUACCUUCAGAUAAUGCACAGCUAGCUCAGCCUGAAACCCAUCAGCCAUUUCAACAAGGGCGUGAUCUGGUUUGUUGCGCAGUAUUUUGAUUCGGACUAUGUUCCCAUAUAGAGAGAACAGAUUGAAAAGCUUAUCUUCAUUUAUUUUCUGCAAGGCAGAUGAGUUAAGAACUAAGAUGCCAAGGUUUAAGGCCAGUAACAUCUUGCACAAAAGCUUUGAAUACCUUAUAAGUUGGCAUAUCAGGCUUAAACUACUCUUGCCAAACGACCACUUUGGUUCGUUGAGUUUUCACUAAAGGAUCAGUCUGGUAGCUACAAUUUUCUAAAAAAUGACAAAGAUCCUCACUAUUCAAAACUCUGGCCAAAGAAUGGCCCAAUCCUAAUAUUCAUGCCAACAGCCUGCUAGCUUCAAUCGUACUCAAGAACCUCUCUACAUGAUGAGGGAAGUGAAGUCUCUUGACGAGCACCCCACUAACACACCCCACUAGAGCCAUGCAUCUUUGAUGCUUCCUUUCUAAGGGCUGCAGAGAGCAAAAUGAGCAUGUAGCAUUCUGCAUUCAUUUGCUAACCAUCUUAUGGGGCCUGACUAGAGAGAGGGAUGAAUGCUUGUAUCAGCACCUUCACCUAUAUUUGACCCUAUCAUAACAUAACAGAUAGGCAACAAGCAGCUGUUUUAUUCCAGUUUGGCCAUGAAUUGUUGACUUACUGAUGAUUUCAUUGACUGGGAUGGCUCACAUAGGUAAACACAAUUAUACGACUUACUGUCACUCUACUUGAUCUCCACCUAGCCGAGUAGGACCCAAUCCACAAGUGUAGUUGGCAUAACAACUUUGAUUAGGUCCUCUGGUUUUAUGUUCAAAACAUCAGGGCCCUCAUUGGACUUCUUUAACACCAAGGACCAAAGCUACCUUUUAGCAAAAACUCAGGGACCAAAGUGUUCAAUUCAAACAGCUUAAGCUUAGAAGUUUAUGAAUAAUGAAUAUAAGUGGUAAGGUUAAGGUAGUCUUGAACGAUACAGAACAGAUGGAGACUUACAUCAGUGUUCAAAUUACUGACUAUUAGCGUGCAACGUUCGUUGGUACCAGUCACCCCGGGAGGUAAAGUUCCACCGAAUGCAGCUGUGAUCAUUGCAGCUCUUCCCAUCUGAAUGAAUCAAAUGCAAAUGUUUUUUUAUGAGAACUUAUAGGGUUAUUAUCCAUCUGCAUUUUCCACAAAGUGAAAGACAUAUCACUGGAGACUAACCUGUGCAUAUGAAGCUGCACACACAAAAGGAAAUUAAAUCAGGAACUUUUGCAAAUAUCAACAAUAAAUAUUUGAUUCAAACAAAAUUGAAGUGUGCUACCUCCUGGUUGUUGGAAGGCAUAAAGACCACCUGGAUCUGGAUAGCCUUGCUGCUUCAAUAAUUUUCAAAUAAUAAAAUUCUCUAUUUAGUUUCAGAGCAAAAAUGGGUCCAUGAAACAAGUGAUGUGAUAACAAAAAGAACAUAAGCACACUCUAACCUGAGAGGCCCUUGGACGCUGUUCUGUAGGCAAUGAUGGGUUUGUGAAAUCCCUGUAUAAAGGAUACAAUUGAGAGAAGGCAACAAGAUGAUUAAAAAAAAGUCAAAAGAAAGGAGGAGUUGUGAACUGAAGUUUAAUUGUACUAUAACUUUUAAAGGCAAGUACAACUCCCUAAAAAUUAUUGAUGCUUACAAAUUGUCCAAUAAUGUCAUUUGUAAGUACUAAGGAUGAGAGGUUAAUUUUACCUAGAACGAUCAUUGUUGUAAUGGACUUGCAGUUCGCUUAGACUGAAAUACAAGGAAACAAGAAAAUAAGAUUGAGAAAAAUAAAUAAAUUUCAACUAAGACUAGUCAUGGGUCAUACUUUGAAUAUUGAAUGUCUAGCUGGCAGCAACCGUCAUAUAUGUUCCUUCCCUGGAAUAUUUUGUUUGCAAGAAUGAAGACACCAGAAAUGUACACAGGGAAAUUAAAUGAACAAUAAAAAUAUUACAUGCAAAGCACCAAAUGCAUCCAUAGCUUCUUGGAGUGACUGAUACUGGAUAAGGGCUUGAAAACCUGCAUCAAACAAACAAAAUGCAAUAAAUAUACUUUGCAAGCAUUAUCGGUGGGAAAUUCCAUACUUAUUUAUCCCAGUGGGAGAUGAAUACAUGUACUACCUCUGUCCCAUAAUAAUUGUAUUUUUAGGAUUUGAAUUUGUCCCAAAAUAGUUAUCACAAUAGAAUACUAAUGGUUUCAUUAAUCACUUCUCAUUUAAAUUUCUCCUUAUUUUACCCUCAACUACCCUCACACUCUUACCUAUACACCAUUUAACAAGGGACAUCAUAGUCUUUCUUCUCAAACCUUAAUAUAUGCUAAACAAAUUAGAAUUACAAUUAUUUUGGGACAGAGGUAGUACCAGUAACUGAAAAGAUAAAAAAUAUUUACUACAACAGAUAGACUAGGCCGCUUGGAAAAAAUCAUGCUGUCACCCACAUUUCUUUAUGGAGAACAUAUGAAAUUUGCAGCAAUUGGAUGAGAGGCUGAUAUCUAAUAAUCUAUGUGCUUCUUCUAUAAUUGAGCCAUGUUGUUGCUUCCAUUAGUACUACAUGCAUGUAAACAUCUGUUGCUCUAUGAUACGCAAUGCUGCAUCUACUGUAAUCAAUUGAUAUGCACUACAACAUUAUUGCUGCAACAGUUGGCAUAAAUGCUUUUGUAACCAGGGUACAGCGUAGUAAUACCCAUAUUGGAAAUUAUUGAGUUUAUAAAAUUGAUAAAUCAGCCUUGCCAUUCACAUGCAUCUGCUAAGUAACAUCCAUAUCAACUAUGCAUGUGUGUGCGGAGUGAGAGAGAGAUGGGGGAAUCUGACCAGCUGACUUCUGAAAUGUGACAAUCUUCUCCACAUAUCCAUAAGCUUUGAAAACUUGAUGUAGAACCUCCACAGUUAUAGGAUACAUCAUGUGGUGAAUAGUAACUAAGAGGAUUCGGUUGGGUUCUGACUCCUGAGGCCCAGCAGCAAACAAGCACCAAGACAAGAGAGAGGAGAGAGAAGAAUAAAUAGAGAGGAAUACGCAGAUCUAGUUGUAACAAUAAGAUACAGUAGAUACGGUAUGCAAUUUAACUCAACUAUCUGAAAGAUGAGGAGAAAUGGAAUAGCUAAUCACCCUCCCAGUUCUGACACAAUAAGUGUGUAAUAUAAAAUAUUCAAAGUCAAAUAUUGCCACACUUCUAUUAUGAGCAGUGAUUCAAGUUUCCGGUUUUCGCAGAUUAAUAUUGUUUUCUGGCUCUAGAAUACACCUAUAUUGCAUUACUAACUUUAGGCAUCUUAAACCAUGCCAUUUGAGAAGAAUUAAACCAUUAGCACUUAAGUGCUGCGAUUGGAGGGAAUUAAAGAUUCCACUGAGUAAACCAACAAUGGCCAGCGGAUUGUCCAUCACAAGAGUAUUGUGCAAUCGAAUAAAGACUUGUGCAUUUUUUUUUGUAUCCACAAACAAGUUAAAAAUCAUAAGUGGUUUAAGAACUUAAGAAUGAGGACCUUGAAGAAAAAUUAAUAAUUAAAACUCAUGCAGACUUCAGAGCUCAAACAUGACAUUGUCCACCUUUGGUCAUCUUGAAAAGCUUAAAAGUAAGUCCUAAAGUUCAGAAAGGAAAAAUCUAGUGUUAUAUAGAUGUGCGUGCAUACCUGAUCUGAAUUUCGUCCAUGAGAGUUUUGGUCAGUGGUAAGUUCUUGGUGGGACGAAAAUUGCAUGUACACAUUCCUUCCCCUAAAAUAGCAUAACAGGUGAACCACAUGCCAAAUGAGAUGAUUUAAAAUCAUGAAGGACAGUAAAAUUAUAUGUUGUGUAAAGUAGAAUGUAACACAGUAAACUCAGCGCAUUAACAGUUUAACACUUGUCAAUAAAAAAUCACAUAAAACAGAACCCAAAACCUCCUGGCUUCCAUAAGUGUCCAGAAGGAGGCCAUAUUUCAACAGCAGCUAAAAUAAUAAGACCUAUAUAAAAAAAACUAUCCUUUUUAGGAGCUACUUGCAUCCAAAAUCAUCACAUGAAGAGUGCAAUUACCUUACGCUAGGUUGAACAGUACUGUAGUAUUGCAGCGCACUCACUGAAUUAUGCAAGUCUUGCAUUUGGAGAAGUGCCUGAACCACCAGAAACCACCCCCAAAAUAAACAUAAAUCAGCACACAUCUACCUAGCAGCUACAGGCAUAGCAGGCAAAAUAACGGAUAAGGAACUCGCCUGAUUCUUGGCACGCAGCAUGACGAUCUUGGAAACAUUGCCAAACGGCUGCAAUAGCUGCAGCAGAUCAGCCUACAACAACAGCAACAAAGCAGUGAGCGAACAGGCCGUAAAGGUAAUAAAGCUUUCACAGUAAAACCAAACCAUCUAUCUAGGCACAUAAUAAGCACGAAAUCCAGAAAGGAGAAGAAACAAAAGAUCCACGAUUCAAUCCUCCGUCACCUCAGCGAUUUCGUGCCCGACGUUCCGGAUGUGGAUCACCUUAGACGGCUCCGCCAUCCUCCCCGCACCGCACCACACCACAGGUCUACCUGUUAACCGUACUAAGGUUAAGGCCAAAAGAGAGAAGCUUCCAAACCAAAGAAGAGAAGAUAAGAUUUAAGGCGAAGAGGGUGCGGAUAGAGAAGGAUGUGAGGAAGGAAGAGGGACGUCCGUACGGGGUGCUCACCGGCGGCGGAAGCAGCAGGACGCCGGCACCGGCACCGCCGCUGCUCGCGGGGGGAUGGAGAUGAGAUCGGCGCGGAGGCGGCGGGUGAAGUCGCGAGGAGACCUCUCCGUGGGGGUGGAGGAGGCCGAGGACGAGGAGAGGGGAGAUCGGCUAGGGCCGGCGCAAGCGCAAGGGAGUGGAGUGAGUCAGGCCCAUUACAGUUACAAUUGGUGUAAAAGUUGUUGGAGGUUUGGGGGCACUCUGUAGUCUGUAGCGGGAGAUUUGAUCGUAUACUACAGUAUCUCGGUCUCUCGGAUGAACUACGGCCGUUUAAAAAUAAUUUUUUUUGGGCUCGUUCGGUUUGGACGAAAAACAAAAAUUUGGAAUUAUAAGGAUUAAUUGUUAAGUGAUAUUCAGUUCAUAGGACAUGUAAGUACAGAAAAAUCGAAGAAAUAUUUCAUCCACUCAAACCUCUUGAAUAAUUUAUUAUAUAUGGAUUGAAAUUUAUUAGAAGUAUUGUUGGGAGCGCUCCCAUAUUCCAAGCGCCAAACGUGUAUCAACCAGGCCCACCUCACCCCACGUUCCAUCAUCCCGCUCCCACCGUUAUCGGAGUAAACGAUUUACUUCGAGAAAAACAACUUCUCUGGUUACGAUCCCACCCCACGUCCCGUCAUCCCACUCCUACCGUUAUCGGAGUAAACGAUUUACUUCGAUAAUAAAAACAACUUCCCUUUCGAUCCCACCCCACGUUCCGCUUCGUGCUCCCACCAUUAUCGGAGUAAAUGAUUUACUCCAAUAAAAACUUCUCUACUUCUGGUAUAUAUUCUAUUUUUCCCGUACCCAACCAACCACUCUCACCCCCACUUCAUUUUUUCCUUUUUUUUCCGGAUCUGAAUCGAUCCACCAUCCCAGCCCACAGAUCGGCGACGCACCAUGGAGGACGACGACGACAUCGUGGCGGUUGAUGGCGGUGGCAGCCGGUUGAUGGCGGCGCUUGAGGUGAAGGCACUGCUUCAGGCCUCGCUGCCGCAGCAUCUGCUUCAGAUCGAUGCUGAAGAGACGUCUGGCGCAUGGCGAACGAGGUGGAAGUCGUGGGGACGAUGAGUUCUCUCAGCAAUUCCUAAUGAAAUUCUUGAUUUUCUUGCAAGUAUUGUAUACAAUCUAUGAUUAAUUAAAUUCUUUAUCCUUCUUGAUUCUAUGCAGUCUGACUUCGAUUGGGUUGAGCACUCAUCUUGGUGUGCUUCUCUAUUCUCCCUUACAUGGCGGAUAUCAUGUUCGUGAUGGUCAAUCGAUUUGGUAACAUCGGCAAGAAACUGUGAUUUGUUUCAUCAAAAACAACGGCGACCUCCAUCUUUGGCUUCGUCGCCGGAUCCAACUCCUACUGAGGUCGCAGCGGCCAGACUUGGUGCUGCCUCGGCUCCAGCCUCCAUCUCUGCUGCUUUGUCUUCUUGCUCUCUCUAGUAGGACAAAAACUCCAUUAAGCCAUCAUGAGGAACUGGGGAUGGCGUGUAUUGUUGUGUGUGUGUAAAAUUUUUAUUCUUGUGCUUUUACUAUGAUGUGCAUGUAAAAUCUUUAUUUUUUUUGUCCCGUGAUUUAGGAUGCAGUGAUUCAAUAUAUAAGUAAAAAAAUUAUUCACGUAUUAUUUGGGGUAAACUAAUUAGGCCCCAGUAACUCCCUCCUUAUUUAUUUUUCCUUUUUUUUCCUUGCUUGAUGCACUCACUAUAAGAAAUCAUCAACCAAGGCUAGCAAUAAUGCAAUUACUAUAAGUUAAUGCACCAUCAAUUUUCAUUUACAUCGAUAGUAAUAUGAAUACUACAAGAUUUGAUCAACCAAUGUUGUUCUUAAUCCAACUACUACAAGCACAUGUACCAUCAAUUUUCAUUUAUGUCGACAGUAACUCGAUUACUACAAGGUUUCACCAAGCAUGGUUGUCGUUAAUCCAAUUACUACAGGCACAUGCACCAUCAAUUUUCAUUUACAUCGACAGUAAUUCGAUUAGUACAAGAUUUGGUCUUAGUUUGUUGCACACCAUAUCGUAACUACCUCGAUUGGAAACAUAGAUAAACCAAUUACAACGAUUAUUUUCAAUAGACCACUGAUUUUAUAGAUCUGUAAUUGAUUUACCCUGAAUUCAAAUAGAACUAAUCUACACAAAUCGAACGUGGGCAACCGAACACCAGAUUUUGCGGACUCUGGACGCGAUGUGCGGUGCUCGGAAUAAUAUUCCGCGCUCUAGCGCUCAGAAUAGCGCUACCGUGAAAUUUAUUAUAUAGGGGCUCCUUCAUUUUUUUUCUCUAUUUCUAUGGGUUAAAUUUCCUCCAAACCAAAUAAGCUUAACUUUUGUAUGUUAGAUUUAUGGGCUUAUUUUGUUUGGAUCAAUUUUUGUGUUAUCAAAAUAAUGGUAGUGACAAAAGUUGCUAAGGUUUUAGCACUAUCAAACUUGGUGGUAUACAAUUUGAACUAGUGUGUGUAAAAAAUAGUCACAAUACAAAACAUCCAUUUGAUACUAAUGAAUUUGCCAAAAAAAAUUGGUAUGAAAAUUUUGGCUUCAAACCAAAUAGGCCAUAUAUACAAAAGUUUACUUAUUUUGAGAUGAAAGAAGUGUUGGUUUACUCUCAUCUACUAAUAACAUGUGGUGUCAUGAUUGUUCGACGAUAUACCACGAGGUGUCUCCCAAAAUUACUUGACAAGGUGACAAUCAAACAAGUAUAUAUACAAUUCCUCCUAUGAGAAUAAGGCAUCAAAAUCCCGAUAAGCCAACAUAAGCUACGUUGAGUCGAAAUUUGGAGGAAUCUUAAGAGCUAGCCGUCGACCACAAUAAUAGGAUCAUUUCAAACCGACAUAGUUGUAUAGCUUAAACUAUGGCUUUCGUUGUACAUUUCGUAUUCGGUGUGUCCAUAAGACAAUAUAUAUAAGGGUAAAUAGGACGUAGCUUUAUGGUUAUUAAGGCUAUAGCGAUGCUCUGGUGUCGUUAUAGCAUCGUGGCGUUCCCGGAAGGGCAAGGCAUCCUCCGCCUUAUGGCAUGAACUGAAGGAGAGAGGGUAAGAGCAGAGGGAAAAGGUUUGUUGUCUUGUUGUUGGUCCUCCUUGACGUCGCCCUAUCCCUUCUUGUGCUGAUGGGGAGUAGAGGGAUUGCUGUUGUUGUGCCAUAUGAGAGAGAAAAGGUGGAGGAGAGGAGGCCAUCGGUUGCAAGCCUGCAAGAAGGGAGAGAUGAUAGGAGGAUGGUUUGCUUGCUGCAUCAUGCAUAGGAGGAAGAGAAAGAUAGAUACGAGGAGCAUGCAGCAGUGCUGCACAAUGGGGGAUAGAGAUCUGGAUGGAGGUCAGGUGGUGGUUGCUGGAACUGGGAAGGAAGUUGUUGGGUAGGGUUAAAUUGCUCCCUACUAGGUCAAGAGAGGGAAGUAGUGGUCCCAGGCUAGAUAAGUGCUUAAAUGGGAUACUGUUGGGCUAGACUGGGAUAAAUAGAGUACCCUAUUAGCAUAUUUACAUUCCAUAUUUCUUAUUCUUUCUAUUAUUUCAUUGCACGUAAGGUAUUGCCAUGCCAUAUGCCUUGUCGCUAUGGCGGUAAGGUUGUGGUGGGUCGUUAUACCUCGCCAUACCGCCUUACUAACCUUGCCAUAGCUGUAUUACCUAUUUCUAGGGGCCUAGAUCUAUAAUAUGUAUGUUGCUUCCUUGCUACAGUUUUGUUGGCAUCUUGCUUAUAAUAAGUUGUGUCUUCUCUGGCUUAAACUUGGUAUGAAAUUAUCAGGUAACAGUGUUGAUCACUCCUUACACUCAAUCAAAUUAUUUCUCGAUUAGCAAAAUGCAUGUGCUUAAUUUAUAAGGAAGGCAUAUGGUCCAAUUCUAUCUAAAGGAAAUAUAUAUAUAAUAAGUUUCGUCUUCUCUGACUUAAAAACUUGGUACGAAAUUACUAGGUAACAAUAUUGAUUACUCUUGAACUCAAUCAAAUUAUUUCUAGAUACAAGUGAAGAUAAUUUUAAUUGUUUGCAUUACCCAUAUGAGCAACUUCGAAGAUCCUUUGUAUACACUACCCAUAUGAGCACCUCCAAAAAUCUAAGACGACAUAUCUUGACAUUGGCGAUGUCACCAUGAGUGUCUCGCGAUGUGAACGUCGCCUAGCACUGAAAGAAUAAUUAGCUAUAAAUGUAAUCUCGUGACGUGGACGUCGCCUAGCACUGAAAGAAUAAUUAGCUAUAAAUGUAAGCACCCAUAUCAAAUCUAGGAUUUAUCCCGUAUAAGCUAUUUCACCACAAGAAAACUAACCAGUUAAAUUACUCUCACUUCGCGAUAUACUGUACUUUUAGUUUGGAGUUCACCUCGAAAUUCACUAAGUCGAUAUAUUGUCCUUUUAGUUUGGAGUUCACCUCGAAAUUCACUAAGGGUAUGGAAUAUAAUGUUGUGCGGGUUUCCAAGUAACAGUGUGCCUAACAUCAAGUUAUGUUUUCCUGGCCAUAUUCCAACUUUUGGCUUUUUCAAUUCUAAGCUAAAAUUUUGUCCUUUGAUUAGAUUAGAAACAUCUAGGCCGAUGAACAACAUUCACCGAAUAAUACGGAAGCUAGAGCUGCCUUAACGUAUGCGCGUGUAUUUACGUUCAACCGGGAAAGUCGUGUCUGCGUAGCUUAGGCCUCUCUUUCCCCCAAUGUUGUGAACUUGUGUUCUUCUGCAGAUCAAAACCUGGAGCGAGCAUCGAUCUAGCUAGCUAAUUGUAAACCACGAUCGAGGUUUCGAUUAAAUUCAGUGUAACCGCAUCUGCAAGCAUGAACACUGUUAGUUCGUUUUCGCUUGUGCCUUGCAUAUGGAAACCAGAUCUAAGAUCACGAACAUCUCGUCGUCGCAAGAAACAGAUAAAUCGAUCUCGAGUAUAGCAUCCAAUCAUCCAUUUUUACAAAAACCGAUUGCUAUGAUCUACUGCAACUAGAAAUCUACAAUCUUGAAUCUUGCAUACCUCUAACAAUCGACUCAAUGAUGCGCAUCAUGAGCUACCAUUUCUUGAUCCUUAGCUCGAGCGACAUGCUUGUCACGUACUACUUGUGCCGCUCGAUCGAUCACCUUCCCUUGCCGGCCACCGCCGCGUCGUUCGCCGCCCUCUUCGUCGUCGUCGUCGUCGUCGUCCUCUCGCCAUCCUCCUCGGCCGCCCCGGCGACGACGACGACGACGUGGUCGUUCGGUCUCCUCGUCUCCCUGUACACCGCCGCCAGCGACCGGAACCUGGGCCUCCGCCUCGCCUCCCCACCGAUAACCACCUCGUCGAUGUCGCCGGCAGCCGCGGCUCUCUUCCUGCUGCAGCUCUCCACGGCCGCAGCCGCCGCCUUGCGGCCGGUCGCCGCCUUCUUGCCGCAGCGAUUAUUCUUGCUCACGCUGUCCGUGCUCCUGCUCUCCGACUCGCCCCCGCCGCCGUCGCCGCUGCAGCAACCGCUCAGCUGGAUGAGCUGCUCCGCCGCCUCCAUGUCCAGCUCCGUCGCGCCGGCCAUGACAUCAACCUCCACGAACAUGCCCGAUACAGGAGAUAGAUCGAGAGAGAGAGAGAGAGAGAGAGAGAGACGACGACGACGAACCACGGCGACCACAAAUAGCCCCUCGAGGAGGAUCACCACCGAGCCGUGGAUGGCGCGGCCAGCCAGAAGCUUAAAUAUAGGAUUCCGCCGCGUAGCGGGAGAGAUCGAUCGAUCGAACGAACAGGCCGAGGGUGAGGAGGUGCCAAGGAAAGACUUGGAAGGUGGCAGGAAGGAGACGACUCGUCCUUGUCGUGUGUCUUGCCUCGUUUUAGCUUUUGCUUGGACUCUUGUAUUAUCUUCAGUAUUUGCCUUGGCUAAGGCGUGUUUUUUUCAAGGAAAAAAAGCAAGAAGGUUAUCUUAUACUUCCUCCAUUCAAAAAUAUAGACUUAACCAUCCUUAACCUAAAAACCAAAAAAUAAUUAUUUUUUAAAUACUCCCUCAUAGUUUAGAUCACCCUAAUAAAUAUAAUGUAUGCACCCAAUACAAUUAAAUAUCUUGAGAAUAGAGGAUUUAAAAAAUGAUAAUAUAGUGAAAAAAAAGUGCUAGUGAUUAAUAAGAUAUGUAAAACGGAGGGAGUGUAUUGAUUGAGAAGGAGAGAGCUAAGGGCCUGUUUGAGAUGAGAAAAAGAAUAAAAUUAAUAAGAUAUGUAAAAUGAGGUGAUAAUUGAGUAUUAAUUAUCACAACCUUGAAAAUAGAUUAAUAUAACUUUUAUAAAAGAAACAUACCGUUUAACCGUUUAAGAAAUGUGAAUGUGGAAAAUGAGAGAAUUUUCCUCUCUUUCUACUUUUGCUGAAUGCAGCCUAAGUUUAGUAUAUUUGUCUUGGCAACAACUCUCUGAAACUCGACCCCGUCCGAUUACAGAAGUUGAAGCCAUAACCGUGUAAAAACAUCACGAAUUCCGCUCAAUUCGUGUUUCUUGUAUAUAUUUGAUUUUCAUUGGAAUUCAAAGGAUGGCGGAAGCAACCGUAGUGACGGGCUUGAUCAGGACGCGUAUUGUGUCGGCUGCUAGCAGUGGACGGAGGAGCACGUAAUAGAUUACAUUGACCUUGAACGGAGAGAUUUUGGUUAGCCGUGACGGCGAAUGAAUAGGUCUAAAUCUCUCAGGUUGAAGUAUUGUCAUGAUCGUGUACUGUACAUGAUCCAUUUGACGCGUUGCAAUGUAUACUGUAUUAAACUAUAGAUCACUUUCACUUGGGAUCAGUAGUGCGUGAUACUGUAUACAUACACCAAGUCAGAAGUUUAUGCUAGUAGUACUACGUCUUAAAGCAAGUCAGAAGUCAUCAGCAAGUUCAGAUUGGUCAGUCACACUGUCUGCAGAGUGGAGACGAUGAGAAGUGCACAUCAAUUGCUCAAUGGACCAGAAAUAAUGGAGCAACUCAUAUGCGACCAAUCAAUUCAUUCCCAAUUGUUUCAUCAAUUGUAGCCUGUGGCGAUUUGCACGGCUGUUUCAGCACGGCAGAAACCGGAUUUACCGUACUUGGAUCAUUGACCCAAUACGCAAUCAUCCAGUUGCAUCAACCAAAAAUUCCAGGAAACAGUCAUGUACUGCGUAGGCAGGAAGUACUGUUGCUUUCAGGUCAGUUAGUUACCACCAGCUAGCAGUCAAGUAAUACAGGAUAGCAGAGCCGUGGCAACAUGGCAUAGAUGAUAGAUGGUAGAACCAGAGCACCGCGCACAAGCCAAUUCAGCAGUCUACAAAUUAUUUUAGAUUGUGCAAAAAGAUGAAUGUGCCUUUACAAUAUAUGUACUAUAUAUAUUCUACUGCAUUCUACUGGAGUAGUACCCUACAGCCUUACGACUUCUGCUUAUAGAAAAGGAAAAAAAAAUCAUAGCUGAACUAAAAGUCAGCAACAACGACAACAGGAACGUGUAACUAAUUCUGUAUGAAUUAUGAUGCUCAAACGGGAAACAAAACUCAGGAUUAGUAGCAUAGCGACUAUUCCGCCCUUAAUCUAUUGCGAUGAUGAGGAACCCAACAGAGACGUACAUAAGGAAGACAGGAUAUAGUGCCAACGCCUUUCUCCUUGGGUUAACAGCAGCACUCAUGAAUGGAUAUGCUGCCCAGGAGCUCCAGGCCAAUGUAACCACUACUGCAAUGAUCUUCAGUAGUACAUUAUCCUUCAGCAUGCAAAUCAAAGCUCCGACAUCCAAAGGGAACAGGCAGUAUCCAAGAAGACUCAGGCUCUGAAAGAAGUUGAUGCGCCCACCCUACAAUGGAGUGUUUAGUUAUUGGCAAGAAAAGAAAAUCCGUUGGUUCUGAAGGGAUUUGAGAAUUCCCAAGCAAGCAUAUGAUAUGAGAGAGUAAAAAUACCAGGAGCAGCACAUUCAAUGUGAGAAUUAUAGCACCAGCAGCUAGUACAGCAAAAGCAACAGCAAACACUUCAGACUACAAAAGACAAAGCAAAUCAUCAGAAUCAGCAAGUGAUAUAUCAUGUCAUGCCAAAGAAGUAGAACAGCACCCUCAGGAAAUUGAACUAUUGAAUAUCCCUGGAAUACUGGCAAAUAUGUUAAAUCUCUGAUAGGAACAUUUACAAACUACAAAUUGUAGAGUAAAUUGAAAUAGCUUCCUUCUAAUGAGUGUGCUUUCUCUGUGUUACUGAUGGAACGUUGUACAAGCAUUCAAAUGCACGAUUUACUAAAUAUGGUUCUUAUUGUUGCAUCCAUAAUUUUACAACAGGAAAUGUAUUAAAAAUCUAAUAAGAAUAUCUAAAACUACAGAGUGCUGUAGAAAUAGGACACUACUUUAUCCUAAUAGGGGAGUUUUCUCUUUGUUACCCAUGAAAAUUUGCAAGAGCAUUCAAAUGCUCAAGUUACUAACAGUGGUCCUUAUUGCUACAUCCAGAAAUUUUCAAUAGCCAAUCCUCUCAUACUGUUUGUCAACACACACCUUACAUAAGAACCUGGUAAACAUUAUAAUCUGGCAAAACCAAAAAUAUACUCAUGAAUCAGACAAAUAUCCACAGAAAAAAAAAGAUGAUACUUCUUAUUGAUGCACAAGGUUGGAAAUGCUAUGUGAAAAUAGGAGUCCAGAGAUUCAUUAAUUAUAGACUGGUCCCCAAUACUUUCUUCCAGUGCUCUAAAGAUGGUCCUAGGUGGCACUAAAGCACUAGGAAAUAUCCUGUUGCUGCAGUUUUUGCCAAAUCAGCUUGGUAGGCACCAGUGCUGUCUAAGCAGGUUAGAUGCACACCUAGGCAGGCUAGGCAUCUUUCCAGGAAUACAACUCAAAUGCACAAUUCUUCAGACUACGAAUAGUUUCAGUGUAGACAUUGUAUUACAUUCAUGCAUGCAUGAAUGGAGGAGAUGUUUAUAGAUCAGGAAUUGUCAGAGUAUGACUAUUAAUAGCACAUAAUGUCCCGGAUAUAAACUCUGUAUUCAUCAAAUUUGACUAGGCAAACUAGAUUUGAGUUACACCUCAGGACUUACAUAGUCAAGUUUAGCUCUUGAUCUCAUAGUGAAGAUGACUACUUAGCUCUACUAUACAAACUGAUCCAGCUUUUCAACAUUAAACUAAAGAUGCUGGAAUUUAUCUUGUCUGCAAGAUUUAGCAUGAUAUGCCUUGUUUGACAUAUUUAAUUUAAGAUGUGUCAUAGUCUGUUGCAGCUACAAUGGUGCAAAACAGUGAGAGAGCAAGCUAGCCUUCCAUUAACAAUUUUAGUAGAAAUCGACACAGCCAUAACCAUUAUACAUGAAUCUGAUAAAUAAGUACAACAUUUACCCAUUUCUUAAACUUCAUGACGGACCAAAUACUUAAGAGAGAGAUAUAUACAGAGAUAACUGUAUCCAGAAUUCCAUAUGAGAUGCCUUGGAAGAAGCAUGUGCAUUAGGGAAAUUAGGCAUAAAAAAUUCUAGGAGGAUGCUCCAAUUUCUCCAAGUAAUUACUAACACAUGGAAAUAACAUUUAUGGGACUAUCUACACAUCUUUCAACAGAAAUUGGAGCUAAAAACUGUCAGUUUUUUUCCCGCCGCAGGAUACAUGGACAACGGCCAGGAUCAGCAGGUCUCUAUGCACGUGCUGGUUUUGAAUUGUGCAGCCCGAUUAAAUGAUUAUCUAAGCAACUGUGUACUGUUAUUAUCCUUUACCAAAAUCAAUCAAUUUUCAGAUGGUAGGAUUAACAAAAAAAAUAUUAUUAAUCAUAAAAACCAUUAACUUGCAAAUUACUAUGUCAAACAAGCUUACUGGAAAACAUAACCUAAUUUAUUUUCCAUUUGAAAAUUGAAAAUAAAAAUUACAAAUAAAUCUACUCAAAGUUACAUUGUAACUACACUAUAGUUACAAUGUUUAUAAUGUAACUACAUUGUAACUUUUGUAGUUACACCAAAAUUAUACCGUAAUUUUCUCUUUUGGUGUUAUCUCUGAUUCUCGGUGCAUAUAUAGUCGUCUAGUUGCUCAAGUAUUGGCUUGUUAGGCAGCGAAUAAUCAACUCGUCGGUUUAAGUAGAGAAUACAAUGCUCCAGAAGUCCAGAGUACAUACGGAGUAUAUCACAUAGAAGUCCAGAGUACAUAUCACUGAGAUGGAGGUAGAGCUUUAAUGAUUGCCGUGUGAAACGUGAGGAGUUUAAUUACUGUACAUAUACAAGAGAGCAAACAAAUGCACGAAUCACAACGUCAUAUCUAAGUAAUCUAACGAACGAGAAAACGACAAUUUGUUUUGCAAAAAUCUGUCGACAAAUUUCUAGCAGAUCCUAACAUUUAUUGGAUCAUUCAACGGUUAGUCAAGCUAUGAUUUUGUAAUUCACAGUCGUUUGUCCUGCAACAUCUGUAAUAACUGGCUAUAUCUUCUUUGAAGCAAAAUCCAGAAUGGAUUCCAUUAUCUAAAAAAAUUCAAUGGAUAGUCGAUGUAUUUUCAUCUAAUCAAUGUGAUUUUGGUGAUUCAAGUGCUCUACAGUUUUACAUAGCAUUUUAGGUUUUGACAUUAAAGGGUUGGGGAAUCAACUAAAUCUAAUCGAUCAUGGAAAGAGAUCGGACUUCACAUAAGAAGGCAGAAAAUCAAAUGCCCAGAUGCCGUGGUACCUUCUUGACGGAGGCUGACCAGGAGAGGGUGAGGCCGAGGAAGACGAUGAAGAAGAAAGGGCCCCAGAGAUCCCAGUCGCGCAGCGCCUUCCCGGGGUCCUCACGGAAAGGGUUUGGGAAGACGACGAGCUUGAGGUUGCUGACGAUGCGAGCGAGGUCGCGCUUGACGGUGUCCAACACGGGCUCGGUGAGCGUGUUGGGCGGGGGGCCGAACCCGUCGCCGGCGAUGGCGACCGAGACGGAGGAGGGGAGCGGCGGAGACGACGACGACGCCACGGAGGAGGAGGAGGAGAACGGGGGGAGCUGCGGCUUGGACCCGGCCACCGGAGGAGGCAGCAGGGGGGGCGAGCUGGAGACGGGGAUCGAGGCCCGCGGAGGCGACGGCGGCCGCGCGGGGAGCACCGCGGCCGCGGAGGGCGGCGCCGCGUGGAUGAGGCUCUCGAUCUCGUCCAUGUCCGACUGCGCGGACGAGGAGUGGAGCGGGAUGGUGUCGCCGUGCGACAUCGCGGCGGCGGUGUGCCCACCGGCGGCGAUUUUACCGUGCGAUCGCGAGUCGCGACGGCGGCGGGGAGAGAGGGUGGAGACGUGUGCGCGAAUCGCAGAAAUGGUGGUGGUGCGCGCGGUCGUGUUUUUGUGCGACCCGACCCGAUCGUGUUUUUCGCUAGUGGGGCGUGGAAUGGAUCCGCGGCUCACGGGCGACACGAUGCGGGGGGCUCCGUGCCUCCGUGUACGACAUCACCGUGCGUGAAACCGCGACACACGGGUACACGACGCCACGCCCGGAAGCACGAGGUGAAACGGCUCACUCAAGAGUUUACUGAACUGUUUGAGGGUGAAGUUAUCGUCACCCCCCACAAUUUAAUUGUUAUCGCUGUUACCGCGAAAACCUUAUGAUUACUAUGAGAUAUAAGGUGACUUUAAAAAUUAAGUUACCACAUGUGAUAGUCACGAUUAGGGACGAAAACGGUUAUCGACCGAUGUCGUUUCCGUAUAAGAAGUACCGUUUUUUUUAUCAUACUGUUUUUUUUGUUAUUUAUAAAUUUUGUUUUUUUUCUAAUUUCUAUCUACAUCGUAUUAAUAUCGAUACUGAGUACUACCUUCAACCCAAAAUAGUAUUUUUCUUGUAACGUUUGACCAUUCGUCUUAUUUGAAAAAUUUAUGUAAAUAUAAAAAAAGAUAAAUCAUACUUAAAUUGCUUUUGAUAAUAAAUCAAGUCAAAAACAAAAUAAAUAAUAAUUCUAUAAUUUUUUAAAUAAGAUAAAUGAUUAAAAGUUAUAAGUAAAAACAUAAUAAAACGAUAAGUAUUUUGAGAGGGAGAUACUAGUUUAAAUGGCAAGUAUGAUACCGAUUUCAACCGUUUUCACCCCUACCCUUGUAAAGGACCUCAGCCGCGCCGAUAAUCCGCGGCCGCGCGCGGGGGGCCUCGCAAAAACACAAAAGCACACGCACGCCGCGCACAGCGCAGUCACUCACACUCGCGGUCUCCCUCCCUCCCUCCCUCACGUCACGUCACACGCGUCGCGUCGCUCGCUUGCCUUCGCCCUCGUGUCGAGCACUCUCUCCCUCUUUCCAUUCCGGCUCCAACCAACCAACCACCCCCCCCCCCCCCACCACGGCGAGAGCCGCCGUACAGCCAGCAAGCUGCCGCGCGGCGCGAGGUCGCCGAGGCUCGGGGGCCGGCGGGCGGAUGGCGUCGUCGAGGGUGAUGGCGGCGGCGGCGGCGUCGUCGUCGUCGUCGCCCCCGCCCCCGCCCCCGGCGGCGGCCGCGGCCGGCGGGGCCGCCGAUCUCGCGCGGUUCAGGAGCACCAGCAGCGGCAUCGGAUCCAUGAACAUGGACGACAUCCUCCGCAACAUAUACGGCGAGGCCGCGCCGCCGCCUGGGGCCGCCGGCUCGGCCCCGGCCCCGCCCCCGGCGGGGGAGGCGGCGGGGGCCCCCGUGGCGGAGGUCGCCGCGCGGCGGACGGCGGAGGAGGUGUGGAAGGAGAUCUCGUCCUCGGGAGGGCUAUCUGCUCCCGCUCCAGCUCCCGCGGCCGGCGCUGCGGGUAGGGGUGGCGGGCCUGAGAUGACGCUGGAGGAUUUCCUGGCUAGGGAGGAUGACCCUAGGGCAACGGCCGUGGAGGGGAAUAUGGUUGUGGGGUUCCCUAAUGUAACGGAGGGUGUGGGUACAGCAGGAGGAGGAAGAGGCGGCGGCGGCGGCGGGAGGGGGAGGAAGCGGACGCUGAUGGAUCCAGCUGACCGCGCAGCGAUGCAGCGGCAGAAGCGAAUGAUCAAGAACCGCGAAUCUGCGGCGAGGUCCAGGGAGAGGAAACAGGUUGGGCUGGAUUCUUCAGUGGGGAGAGAAUUUGAUGCAUUCAUCAAGUGGGUUUGGGGCUGUUUGGCUUUGCACAGUCAUGAGUUCAGAACAUGAUGCUUUCCAUUUUGUUCUCAAUGCAGGCGUAUAUCGCAGAGCUGGAGGCUCAGGUCGCGGAGCUUGAGGAAGAACAUGCACAGCUGUUAAGAGAACAGGUACUGUUUACUUUUGCGUUUUUGGAAAUGUUAUCUGUGAAAUGUUGAAAUGGAGCAUGGAUACAUCAACCAAUUAUACUCAUUUGCCGCUUUAUUAUGCCUGAACUCUUUCUGGUAGUAAUUUUUCCCAUGUUAGAUAACUGCUUAGUACAUUACAUUAUUUCAGUAAAGCACCAGGGCAUAUUGGGAUAAAAGGGACACUGACAUUUGAACUGUCAGCAAUUCAGGAUGUUGGUGUGUUCAAAAUAUAAAGUUGUCAUGCAUCUUAGGAUGGUCGCUAUAUAAUGUUAGUGUUUUUACAGCAUGUAAGGCAAUGCUUGAUCCAUGGAAAUUCACUAAUCAAACAGAAAAUGUAUUUUAGUAUUAAUAUUUCAGUACCAAAUAUGUCAAAUCUUUCACAUAAGUAAAAUAAGGUAGUUCAUAUCCCUGCCAUUUUCCCCUUAUUUUGUUGAAUGAAUAAAAAUAUUAUUUUUGUUGGCCUUAGUUCAUUUCAAGACUUUCAUCUGUUUCUUUUCUUAUACAAAUAAUUAUGAAGUUAAAACAUGUGACCACCAAUGAACUCUUGGUAGUCUACUGUCUUAUGUAUUUCCCAGUGCGUAGUGUCAUAUGUAAACAGGUAUAUAUGACGUAUAUUGUUGUCAUGUUCUUGAGGUAGAUACAUUUUCCCCAUUACUUCAUUCUCUAGUAUGAGCAUUUUGCUCCUUGCAGUGUCCAGACCAGGAUUACCCCUUAAAAGUUGUGCACUAUUCUUUUCAACAAAUUAGACAGACAGCAAAUUGCUAAAAAGAGAACAAUUUUGCCCUGUACCUUGAUUAUGUUCUAUCUCUUGUUCGGCUAUAUGGACUUCUACCAAGUUUAUCUAAUUUUACCAUCUCUGUUGAAUUGCAGGAGGAGAAAAAUCAAAAGAGGCUUAAGGAGGUAAGUUUGAUUGUCUAACAUAAUUGCUUCUGUAUCUUUUUUACUUUGAAACUUGAUUUAACAUCUGUAUGGUACAGUAUCAUAAUAUGUCCUUAAAAGUUUCAUUCUGCUUGAGAGCUGAGACAUUUAAUUGAGUUGCAUAUAUGUUUCCAUGUUUAAAGUCGUAGUGUGGUUUAUUGGACAUUUAAUACAAUCUUUUGGAAAGCGUAUUGCAGAACUUUUAAGCUUUUUAAAAUGAAGGCAGUCGUUAUGUCAAAUUACAUGCUUCCUUGGCCAUUUUGAUCUGGUUUUUCUUACAGGAGCUAACAAGCUUAAUGUCUCCAUCGGUGUUUGGUGAACUAAAUAAUUAAUGCACUGAUUAAUCAAGUUUAUCUGCACACUAUGUCAGCUUGCUUGGGAUUCUUUAUUUCAUGUUUGGUAAUACAUGAUUCAAAUAGUUUUUUGUUAUUUAGAAGUGGUCCGUCCAGCAAUCCUGACAACUAUUUCUCACGACAACACUGCUUGUCAAGUUGAUCCACCCAGGUAUAGUACAAUAAGUUAUCAUUUUGUCCCUACCAUUGGGGGUGGAUGGCGCUUGCUGCAUGCAUAUGACAUAAUGAAAAUGGUAUCACAUCUUCUAUAUAACAAUGUUUGCAGCCCAAAUCUAGUACAUUGAGGUGUUCAUAUAGCAAAUGUAUACACGAUAAAAGUCCAUAUUUUCUCCCAAUCUAAUUUCUGUGUUGUUUUUAAAUUUAUUUUGCUAAAUUUGUUGUUUGUUAUUUGCUGCAUAAGUAUGUAGUAAGCAAAACAUGCCAUUUUUUUUACUUUAUUUCUCAGAAAUGGCACGUGUUUAUGCAGAUCAAGGAACAAGCCGUUGCAGUUGUCAUAAGGAAAAAAACACAAGAUCUACGAAGAACCAACUCAAUGGAAUGGUAGAAGUAACCCAAUUUCUGUUGUUACUCUCUUACAGCUACAGAGAUUCUCCCGUUUUCUGUUUCCCCUAGCUGAUGUUUCAGGCGACUUGGUAGAAUAGUCAAGGCUUUCAGGUGACAUGAAAUCUCAAAUGCCAUCAGAAGGUGUAGCUGUGCGUGAUCAAAAUGUCACGCCAUUCAGAAUUGGUCUGCGAUCUGUUAUUUAUUUGUCAUCAGGCUCAUGCGGCUAACUGUGUGUACAAACAAGAAUAAGCCGGUUUACAUGAAAGGUAGAUUAAUGUUACAGAUCUGAGCCACCUGUGUUUUGAGUGUGUUUCUCUUGUGUUUCCACUGAUGAAAAAGCCUUCGAUUUAUUCUUCAUUUCUUCAAAUAUAAAAGGAAAAAAAGCAGUGCUGUUUAUUAGCUGAUUUGAUUUGAGCUGCUUAGAUGUGGGGCAUCCGGGCAUAUCACUUCAUUGGGCUCGAUCGUCUCGUCCAUUGUCAAAACAGUAGAGAGCAUCUUUCCAUUUAGAAAGUUGCGUAACGGAAAUUUUCAUCAGAACUGGAAAAGGACAGCAUGAGUACGACAGUAUCGGUUAUUAAAAGGGACAGCAUGAGCAUGGAAAAAUGGUAUAGAAAUAUAAAAAGUUUUAGAAUUGGUCACGUUUAUUAAAAAAUAGGCAAAAUUAAAUAGCGAGAGGUUGUGAUUGGUUGAGAAGUAGAGAUAGGUCGAAAAAGUGAAUGGUAAAGGGUUGUAAUUGGUAAGUAGGUUAAAAUAAAUAGAAAAAGGUUGUGAUUGGCUAAGAAGUGAAAAAGGGGAAUGGUGGAGAGUUGUGAUUGGUUAGAAAGAAAAUGUUGGUGGAGAAGUUGUUAUAUUUUGGGAUAAAUCCUGAGUCCUAAAAGUUAUUAUAUUUGAGACAUACUCCUGUUAUAUUUGGGACGGAGGGAGUACGCUGAUAUUUACCAGUACAAUUCGCCUGCGGGCCUAAUUGGCACUCUUGGAUAUAUACUCCAUCCCAUUUGAUCAUCCUCUAAAUUUGUUGAGGUCUUUUCAAAUUAAUCAUCAUCUAACUGAUAUCUAUUUGUUUAUUCGUGCAUAAAUAAAUAAAAUUGUUACGUUUUGUUUGUUUAUGUGUGCAGAGUAAAUGCAAUUAUAGUAUGUCUAUUCGUUUAUCCGUGCAUAAAUGACAUCGUCGCAUGUCUUGUAUGCAUUCAAUUGCACAUUUGCAUACCCACAUGUAUGUAGAGCAUCUUAUCGAUGAGGUUUAAUUUCAAAAGGAAUGUUUUUUUUUGCCUUGGUCUCGACACCAUUUGCAAAUAUGAUGGUCAAAUUGAAAAGAGGGACUAUUAUAUUCCAAUUCAUUUGCAAAUUUUAAAUUUUACAACUUCAUUUUAAGAAUAAUUUAAGUUAAUUUUGUCAUUUUGUUGUCUACUCUCUCGUAAUAUAACUACUUGUAGUAUUCAAAAUUUACUCUACAAUAUAGUUACUUCUUCGUAUAUACCGAUCAUAAAUAUUUCUUGUUUAAUUUCUUUACCUAUUUCAUCUCAACUAAUCAAUCACAACUAUCAUGUAUUUAAUUUCAUCUCUCUCUCCUAAUCCUGGUAAAAAAUUUUCAGAAGUGAUUAUAUUUUAGGACAAAAGGUGUUCCUCUCUGUUUUUUUUAAUGAUAGCGAAAGAAAUAUGUACUCCUUAUGUUUCAUAUCAUAAGUGUUUUGACUUUUCUCUUAGUCCAACCUUUCUAAAUUUAACCUAGUUUAUAAAAAAAUAUAAUAACAUUUUCUAUACAAUUAAAAUUUAUUCAAUGUUAUAUCUAAUGAAACUAAUUUGGUGUGGUAGAUGUGCUAGAUUUUUUUAUAAACGUAGUAAAACCUAAAAAAGUUUAACUAGAAAAAAAAAUUAAAACUACUUAUAAUAUGGAACGGAGGGAGUAUAAAAUUCUACCUAAAAUUUCAGUUACAAUUCAGAAUCUAAAUUAAAAAUUACACUUGCUUGUUGGUGGUAAACUGCUCUACAAAAUAUAUAUGAAUUAGAGCAACUCCAGCAAAACCCUAAACGCACCCCCCCCAAAAAAAACAAUUUUGGAGUUAAGAGUCGACAGCGAGGCGCUUGUGGUGACUUCGUCAAUCUCAAGGAUUUACUGGUCCAGUCUUCAAAGAUGCUCAUAGGGGUAGAAUUUGUGUGCGUGUGUCGGUGACAUGGGACCGGGAGUAUCAUGACUUAGAGACUUGAGGCAGACACGAUCACCCACGUGGCCUAACCCCCUCGGGGGGGGGGGGGGGUCGGGCCCGAGGGUGAUAUGGCCGCCCUUCUCUUUGUCUCCCCGAGGGGUCGGGCCCGAGGGUGAUAUGGCCGCCCUUCUCUUUGUCUCCCCGAGGGGUCGGACCACUCCCGUCUUGGCCCCGAGGGCCGAGGCGCCCCGACCCCUUGUGGGUUUUGCGCCGCGUAUAUGAGGUAGGUGAGCGUAGCAGGGCUCACCUAACCACAUUUAUUGCGGUUUGGACGAGCGCGUCACGCCGCAUGUAACGCAGUGCAGCGCGCUCGUUUAUCCGGUCUGUGAUCAGUCACAGACCGGUCAGAUCAUGGGUUAGGUGGCGACAGGCGGUCUGACGCACGCCUCGCCCCAUCCCGUCAGGACAAGAGCCUCCAAGCACUCGUCCCUAGCCGGAGCCGGCGUGUUAGCUCCUGGAGAUGGCACGUUGGUUCCGGUCAGAUAUAUGCCAGGCUUCAUCCUAACCAUUACAGGCAAGAUAUUGUAUGAAGAAGGGCGAACAUGCAGAUUGUUAAACUGACACGUGGUGGACAAGAAUGACCGAUUUGUGACCGGUCUGACAAUGGUCAUGUCGUCAGCAGACAGCCAUGUUCCCACGUCGCGCCUGCUUCCGGCGGAAGUGGAGGUAGGUAUGGGCCGUCCCAUCAGAAGGUCAUUCGGACGGCAGCCAUACAAAUCUCUGUCCAUUAAUGAAGAGAAGUGAAGUAAGAAAGAGAGGGAGAGAUGGUGCAUGUGGUAUCCCCUUGAGAUAUAAAAGGAGGACCUUGCCCACUUAGAGAAAGGGGAGAAAAAAGGAUCCCAGAACGAUUGGGGGCUGGCUCGCACUUUGUAGCUUCUUCAUACACAGAUCCACCAAAACACAGGAGUAGGGUAUUACGCUUCUCAGCGGCCCGAACCUGUAUACAUCGCCCGUGUCUUGUGUGAUUUCACUCUCGCGAACUUUCCACAGACCAAGAGCUUAGAACCUCACCCAGGGCCCCCGGCCGAACCGGCAAAGGGGGGCCUGCGCGGUCUCCCGGUGAGGAGCCCCACACUCCGUCAUCUGGCGCGCCAGGUAGGGGGCUCUGUGAGUGAUCUUCUGAGCUCUCGCACUCUUUCGUGUGCGCCAAGCUUUUCCUGUUCAGCCCGAUGGCCGAACAAGCAAAGGCACACAACCUCUCUCCGAGUGUUAGCGGUGACGACGGGGAGCCGAACCCACGCCGUCGAGCUCGUACUCCACCGCCCCCUCCACGCCAAAGUCCUAGGCGAGAAGAGGCGCUCGAGAGGGUUGAAGGAUCCGCGACUUCGACAUCCACGGGUGAUGGGGAAGGGCGGCGAGAUGGGGAGCGUCGCCUCCUCGUCUACGGCGACGGCAGCACGCCCCAGGGCGCGCUCCAAGCUGCGGGCGCGCUCCUACGUCACCCGCCCAUUGUCCCUGACCCGGAGUCUCCAGCCCAAUGUUGGCUGGACGACGUGGCCAACUUGGUCAUGACGGCACGGCAGCGCCUAGGUGCUGGUGGGCGGUCCUCCGCCACCAAGACCUCUGGCGCUGCUACCACCGGCUCCGUAUCGUCAAGGCGAAGGGCGCGGCGAGCGGCGGCUGUUGCUCGCCAUUCGGCCGCCACUCCUUCGUCAGCGCCUCCGACCCAGGAAGAUCUGCGUGGGGGGCCAGAUGCCCGCAUCGAUAUCGAGCGCCGGCGUAAUGGCCGACGUGCUGCCCACGCAACGGAGGGCGCCACCUCGUCCGGAGUGUCACAUCAACACGGACGCGGGGAUCAGCCCUCCGUGCCCCCGGUUGGUGGUGUCGGCUGUAGAGCCUUUGUGGCGAGCCUUCGGAACGUCCGUUGGCCCCCAAGGUUCCGGCCCACCAUCGCCGAAAAAUAUGACGGGAGCGUCAACCCCGCCGAGUUUCUCCAGGUCUACACGACCGGGAUCGAGGCCGCCGGGGGUGACGACAGGGUCAUGGCGAAUUUCUUUCCCAUGGCCCUGAAGGGACAGGCGCGGGGUUGGCUAAUGAACUUGCCACCCGCGUCCGUCCACUCUUGGGAGGAUUUGUGCCAACAGUUCACCAUGAACUUUCAAGGCACAUAUCCGCGCCCAGGUGAAGAAGCGGACUUACAUGCAGUCCAGCGAAGGGAUGAUGAGUCACUUCGCUCAUACAUUCAGCGGUUCUGUCAAGUCCGCAACACCAUACCAUGCAUCCCUGCACACGCGGUGAUCUACGCGUUCAGGGGGGGUGUGCGGCACAACCGCAUGCUCGAAAAGAUCGCCUCCAAAGAGCCCCAGACUACCGCGGAGCUUUUUCAGCUCGCGGACCGAGUGGCUCGUAAGGAGGAGGCAUGGACCUGGAACCCCUCCGGUUCCGGUGUGGCAGCUUCGGCCGCCCCCGGAUCCGCUGCUCAGACAGGGCGGCGUGACAGGAGGAGGAAGAAGAGGUCAGCCCAUACCGACGACGAGGGUCAUGUCCUCGCCGUCAAGGGCGCUUCGCGGGCCACCCGAAAGGGGAGGCCUGCGGGCGACAAAAAAAAGGAGGCCGGUGCUCCUAGCAGGGAGCGCCCAACCGGCAAGUGGUGCAUCGUCCACAACACUUCCCUUCACGACCUCGCGGACUGCCGCGCAGUCAAAAGUUUGGCUGAGCGGACGAGGAAGUGGGAGGAGGAGAGGAGGCAGGAGCGCCGAGAGGGCAAGUCCCCGGCGGUUCCUUACGGCAAUCGGCGAAGUGAGGCCAAACAGAAGGCCCCCGCCGAGGACAUCGAUGACGGCGAUGAUGACCUAGGUUUCCAAGAGCCUGGGGCCACCAUUGCCACUGUCGAUGGGGGAGCGUGUGCUCACGUUUCUCGCCGGAGCCUCAAGGCCAUGAAGCGAGAGCUUCUGGCCGCGGCCCCUACUCAUGAGGCGACGCGCCGGGCGCGGUGGUCGGAGGUUGCCCUCACCUUCGACCAGACCGACCACCCACCGUACGUUGCCCGGGGAGGACAGAUCGCAAUGGUGGUUUCUCCCACUGUUUGCAACGUGAAGCUGGGGCGUGUCCUCAUUGAUGGGGGAGCAGCCCUCAACAUCCUUUCCCCCGCAGCCUUUGACGCUAUCAAGGCCCCGGGGAUGGUGCUCCGGCCGUCCCAGCCGAUUAUCGGUGUGACGCCGGGUCACACUUGGCCGCUAGGUCAUAUCGACCUCCCGGUCACCUUCGGUGGAUCCGCCAACUUCCGCACGGAGCGGGUGAACUUUGAUGUGGCGGACCUCAGUCUGCCCUACAACGCGGUCCUAGGGAGGCCCGCGUUGGUGAAGUUCAUGGCGGCAGUCCACUACGCCUACCUCCAGAUGAAGAUGUCGGGCCCCGGUGGCCCCAUCUCUGUCCAUGGCGACCUCAAAGUCGCGCUUGCUUGUAUGGAGCAGCGCGCGGACCACCUCGCCGCCGCGUCCAAGCCCGAGGGUGGCGACGAGAGGCUUGGCACCUCCGCCCCCGCCGCCCCGAGGCAGCGGAUAGUCACAUGCGACGAGGUCCCGGUCAAGGAGGUUGCCCUGGGCGACGGCCCGUCCAAGACCACACGGAUCGGUGGUCUUCUGGACGGCAAAUAGGAAGACGCGCUCGUCUCUUUCCUGCGGGCAAACGCUGACGUCUUCGCAUGGAGACCGGCGGAUAUGCCCGGGGUCCCCAGGGAGGUGAUUGAGCACCGUCUCGCCGUGCGGCCGGGCGCAAGGCCGGUCCGGCAGAAAGUGCGGCGCCAGGCCCCGGAACGUCAAGCCUUCAUCCGCGAGGAGGUGGCGCGACUUCUGGAGGCCGGAUUCAUCCGCGAGGUCAUCCAUCCGGAGUGGCUGGCGAAUCCGGUGGUCGUUCCCAAGGCGAACGGCAAGCUUCGGAUGUGCAUCGACUACACCGACCUUAACAAGGCAUGUCCUAAGGACCCUUACCCCCUGCCUCGCAUAGAUCAGAUUGUCGACUCCACAGCGGGGUGCGACCUUUUGUGUUUUCUAGAUGCAUACUCUAGUUACCAUCAGAUUCGCAUGGCUAGGGAGGAUGAGGAAAAAACUGCAUUCAUUACCCCCAUAGGAACUUAUUGUUAUACGACAAUGCCCUUCGGGUUAAAGAAUGCAGGUCCUACUUUUCAAUGUACUACUCGAAUUUCUUUGGGUAGCCAAAUAGGACGUAAUGUUGAGGCUUAUGUCGAUGACUUGAUUGUAAAGACGCGCAACCAAGAGACCUUACUCUCGGAUCUAGCGGAAACUUUUGAGAGUCUCCGCUCCGCCCGCAUAAAACUGAACCCCGAUAAGUGCGUGUUCGGUGUACCUGCGGGCAAGCUUCUCGGGUUUUUGGUCUCUGCCCGAGGCAUUGAGGCCAACCCCGAGAAUAUACGAGCUAUAGAGCGGAUGCCCCCCCCCAGCAAGCUUAGGGAUGUGCAAUGCGUCACCGGUUGCAUGGCCGCCCUAAGUCGGUUCAUAUCGAGGCUGGGAGAGAAGGCGCUACCCUUAUUUAAGCUCCUCAAACGCUCCGGGCCGUUUACUUGGACGGAGGAAGCUGAACGUGCCCUCACUCAGUUGAAAGCGUAUCUCAGCUCUCCCCCAGUUCUGGUCGCCCCGGAGCCAAAUGAACCCUUGCUACUCUAUUUAGCGGCGACCCCGCAAGUGGUUAGUGCGGCGUUGGUUGUGGAGCGCGAUGAGGACAAUCCUCAUUCCGCGCACCCCCACCCUGUGCUGGCUUGGCCCGGGAGAGAGCAGGGAGGAGAGGCCCCCGAGCCGAACGGUGGCCCAAGGCCCCCGACGACCGGAGCAGGCCCUCUGCCCGCUUGUCAGACGGUGCCAGGUGUCCCCGACACCCAGGAUGGCCCGAGGGCCACUGCGGGAAGGCCGCACCUAUCGCCCUCUGACCCCGAGGCUAACCCUGUGCCGACUCGACCCGGGAGAGAGCAGGGAGAAGAGGCCCCCGAGCCGAACGGUGGCCUAAGGCCCCUGACGACCGGAGUUGGCCCUUUGCCCGCUUGUCGAACGACGCCAGGAGCCCCCGACCCCCAGGACGGCCCCGAGGCCACUGUGGGAAGACCGCCCCUGUCAUCCUCCGACCCCGAGGUCGUCGGCACAGAAGACAAGUGCGCCCCGCGAGGCCGCUUGGACGAAGAGUGCCCCAGGGACGUGGCCCCUAGCGAAGAGGAUCGGCCCCACCGAAAGGUGCAGCGGCCCGUCUACUUUGUUAGUGAGGCCCUCCGGGAUGCCAAGACCCGAUACCCUCAGGCCCAGAAAAUGCUUUACGCUAUUCUGAUGGCCUCGAGGAAACUGCGCCAUUAUUUCCAGGCGCAUCGGGUUAUGGUGGUUACGUCUUACCCCCUCGGCCAAAUCUUGCAUAAUCGAGAUGGUACUGGACGGGUGGUGAAAUGGGCAAUCGAACUUUCUGAGUUCGAUUUACACUUUCAACCACGCCACGCUAUCAAGAGCCAGACCCUCGCCGACUUUGUGGCAGAGUGGACCCCGGCUCCCGAGCCCGUCUCAGUCCCCGAAGCCAGCUCGGGCCCCUCGCAGCUGCCUCACACCGCCCACUGGGUGAUGCAGUUCGACGGUUCCCUGUCUCUUCAGGGCGCCGGUGCGGGGGUCACGUUGACCUCGCCGAGCGGAGACGUCCUCAGAUAUUUGGUUCGCCUUGACUUUCGAGCGACCAAUAAUAUGGCAGAGUACGAGGGACUCCUUGCGGGACUCAGGGUGGCAGCUGGACUGGGGAUCCGCCGCCUCCUGGUGUUAGGCGACUCCUAGCUGGUCGUUAACCAAGUCUGUAAGGAGUACCGGUGCUUUGACCCGCAGAUGGACGCUUACGUGCGCCAAGUACGGCGUAUGGAGCGUCAUUUUGACGGGAUAGAGCUUCGGCACGUGCCCAGACGGGAUAACACGGUUGCCGACGAACUCUCACGGCUCGCUUCCUCGCGAGCCCAGACCCCACCGGGCGCCUUUGAAGAAAGGCUUGCCCAGCCGUCGGCGCGACCCGACCCCUUAGGGGAGACGGACACGCAUGACAGGCCCCCGAUGCCCGUCGGAGUCCAGGCCUCGGGACCCGAGGGGAGCGCUCCCAGCUCCCUUAGAUUGAUUGCUUGGAUCGCUGAGAUCCAAGCAUACCUCACAGAUAAGACUCUACCCGAGGACCGCGAAGGGAGUGAACGCGUCCAGCGCAUCUCCAAACGCUACGUGCUGGUAGAAGGGACCCUCUAUCGGCGCGUGGCUAACGGAAUCCUCCUGAAGUGCAUUCCUCGGGAACAAGGCGUCGAGCUUCUUGCCGAUAUCCAUCAAGGCGAAUGCGGAUCCCACUCCGCCUCACGCACCUUGGUUGGCAAAGCCUUUCGACAAGGUUUCUAUUGGCCGACAGCUCUCAAUGAUGCGGUCGACCUGGUCCGGCGAUGCAGAGCGUGUCAAUUCCACGCCAAGCAAAUCCAUCAGCCGGCCCAGGCCCUGCAGAUCAUACCACUUUCAUGGCCAUUUGCUGUCUGGGGGCUCGAUAUCCUGGGACCGUUUAGGCGGGCCCCGGGCGGGUUUGAGUAUCUGUAUGUCGCGAUCGACAAGUUCACUAAGUGGCCCGAGGCUUAUCCGGUCGUCAAGAUCGAUAAGCACUCCGCACUUAAAUUCAUUAAGGGCAUCACAGCCCGGUUUGGAGUGCCUAACCGUAUUAUUACGGAUAACGGCACCCAAUUCACUAGUGAACUUUUCAGCGAUUACUGCGAAGACAUGGGCAUCAAGCUCUGCUUCGCCUCACCUGCCCACCCCAGAAGCAACGGCCAAGUGGAGCGCGCAAAUGCGGAAAUCGUCAGAGGCCUUAAAACCAAGACCUUCAACAUCCUCAAGAAGCACGGCGAUUCGUGGAUCGAGGAGUUGCCAGCGGUGCUCUGGGCGAACCGAACCACGCCAAGCCGAGCAACCGGGGAAACGCCUUUCUUCCUCGUCUACGGCGCGGAAGCGGUUCUCCCAUCCGAGCUCACCCUGAGGUCCCCUCGGGCCACCAUGUACUGCGAGGCUGAUCAAGAUCAGCUUCGCAGAGAUGACCUCGACUACUUGGAAGAGCGAAGGCGGCGCGCGGCCCUCCGAGCCGCGCGCUACCAGCAGAGCCUGCGGCGCUACCAUCAGCGCCACGUCCGGGCCCGAUCACUCUGCGUCGACGACCUCGUCCUACGCCGCGUCCAAACGCGUGCUGGAUUGAGCAAACUCUCACCAAUGUGGGAGGGUCCGUAUCGAGUGAUCGGUGUCCCCCGGCCGGGCUCCGUUCGGCUGGCCACGGGCGACGGCACAGAGCUGCCUAACCCGUGGAACAUCGAACACCUUCGUCGCUUCUACCCCUAAAGGGGGAUCGGGUGUCAGGUUUCGGGCUCGGGCCAACCCCGCACCCCCCUCGGGCGUGCAGGGUUGGCCGGGGGCUACCACAUAUGCAUAUUCUUUUUUCUCUUAUAUCUGUAUUUCAAUAAAAGCAUUUUCGAUUUCCUAAAGGCUGUAUCUGUGCUGUUGUUUCCUUUUGAAGGAUCUUGACUUGAAAUAGGUCACUCGUGUUCAAUCCUGCCCUCGGGGGCUCGGGUCGGCUAAAAUCGCCAAACGGGGCCCAGAACCGAGCCGUGCCCCGGGGCGUGGUGAACUCCGGGGGGGAAUCGGCAAAAACCCACAAUCGGGUCACCCAUAACCCUCGGUCACCACGCUCCCGGCCUGGCCAGUCUCGACAUGUGGAUCUCCCCAGGCACUAGCCCCGACCCGAGCCAUUUGAGGACUAGGACCUGGGCACGAGCCCUUGUUCAAGCCAAGACACAAAAGGACCGCGGCACAGACAUCCUCGUCUCAUACACACAACAAAUAGAAUUGACACAAAAAAAUUCCUCUUUAUUUGAUUGCAGAUUAAAUUAGUCUAUACAAGAAGGGGGCCCGAAGGCCUCGGAAGAAGAAAAGAAGAAACUAUUUAAAGAUUGGCGGGGGCCUGGGGGCUCACUCCGAUGCACCCGGGUCGCCAGCCUCGUCGCCACUGUCGCCCACACCGCCGUCAUCGCCCUCCUCGUCGGAGUUGAGGGCGAACGCGAGCCGAGGGGCCGAACCCUCGAAGCUGUGGACGAUAUGGUCGGCGGCGUCCCGGACCUGCGCGCGCGCGCCGUCCUCGGUCCCGGGAGGGAACUCGUCCAGCGCCGUCCAUGGGGAGAAGUCGGGAUCCCUGGCUUGGUAACUCGCCAGUACGAGCUCCACCGCUCCUCGAGCGAGGUCCCUCGAGGAUGACUUAAUCGUCCUCUCGAGCUCCUCGGGGAGCCGUUGGAGAGUCCCGGCCAUCUCUGAGAGGCGCUGAGCGAGGCCCCCCUGGUUGGCGGCGUACUUCACAGUCCGCCCGCCCCAAAGGCCUGCCUGCCGGCCGGCGUGAUCUAGACGGGAGACGGCGUCCCGAAGCAUGCCGGGCCCUACCUCGCCUGCCAAACGGAGGGCCUCGACCUCCCCGGCGGACGAGUCUAGCGCGCCCUGCAGAUCGGCGAUGGUGUGUUCGGCAGCUGCGAGGCGGGAGGCUAAGUCGCUUUCGCCCGUGGCCGCCCCGCCGCUGCGCGCCCUCGCGUCCAGCUCCUUAGCCUGCGCCUCGAGUUCAGCGGCCCGCUGGUUCAGUGCGGCCUUCUCGGCGCGGGCACCUUCCAAAUUGCGGCGCGCUUGUUCCUCUAGCACAGCCUCACGGAGGGACGCGCUCUCCGCCAGCCGUUGCGCCGCGGCCUCGGCCUCCUCAAGAGCUCGCUCCCGCUCGGUGAGCGCGUCCUCGCGGAGGCGGAGUGCGCACUCCUCCUCGGCGCAGGCGGCCUCGUGCGCCGCCAGCGUUACCUCCCGGAUGGCAACGGCGGCCUCGCGGUCCGCCAGGUCCCUCUCCACGACGCCGGCGCGCUCUUCCAGCGCCAUGGCACGGGCCUCAAGGGCUUCUUCACGCCGCCGGGAUGCCACCUCGGUCUCCGCCGCCCGCCGUUCUCGGGCAGCGGCAGCGUCAAGGACCCCCCGGGCGGCGUCGAGCUUUUUCCCUAGCUCCGCCUCCCAGCUCCCGUAUUGAAGGCGGAGGGUGUCCUGCGCCUCGUUCAUCAUGGUGGUGGCGAUGAGGGCAGCCUCCCGCUCCUCCUCCACCUCCUUGGCGAUCUCCCCCAGCACCUUCCGACGGGCUUCGAGCUCUGACACGUGCCGGCGGUGUGCCUUGCGGCCCACCUCCACCAUGGCCUCCACCGAGCGUCGCCCCUCUUCGACACGCGCCCAUGCGGCGUCAAGCUCCGCCCGCUCUGCUUGCAGGGCCUCCACCUGGGCACUUAACCCGUCCAACACCGUGGUGUUUGCGACGGCCAAGGCCUGCAGAAGGGGUUCUGCGCUCAGUGGAGCAACGGAAGGCGUGGGGAAGAGCCGCCUCGGUGAGGAUGCCGCGCGGCUCGGCCCGCCGAUGGACGUGCCGGACUCAGGGAUGUCCCCCGGACCUGGCUUGUCCUGAGCGUCGCCCGAGGGAGUGGGCCCAAGCGAUGCGCCCGCGGCCUCGUCGCGAGCUGCCUCGGAAGUCGUCGCCGCCUCGACCUGGCGAAGUCUGGCCUCCUCCCGAGCGGCUUCUUUAGCUUGGCGAGCUCGGACGGCCACCUGGGCGGCCUCCUCGGCUUCCCGUAGGCGAUCCGCGGCUUCUCGCCGGUCAGAUUCCUGCCUCCGAGCCUCUGUGGUCGCUGGGUCCUCGGCCUCAGACUGGCCGGACUUGGAAUGGCGGGAGGGACGCGACGGGAUCUCGCUGAAACAGAAGAAAGACCAGAAGACAAACAAGAUGGAUGAGUGAAAACUCGCGUUGAGGGAAUGAAUACGGCCACGAUGGGCGUGGGACGAACCUGUGAGGGGGUCGGUUAAACGACCACCUUGGAGGGGAAAUAAGGUUUCCCCGGGAUGGUUCUGUCCCCCCCGUCUUGCGGAGCCGUUUCUUCUUCCGCUCCCCCUCGGGCUGCGACGUCGGCGUGGCCCCCUCCGGGCGCCUGCUGCUGGCACGCGCCGCCCCGCCCCCUCAGGGAGGAGAUGGGGGAGGGGUUCCUUCCUGCUUCCUCUUCCCCCGGGCGUCGGCAGGGCGGCCGCUCCCCGGGCCCCCGUCGCGGGGCCCAGAAGCACGACCCCCUCCCGGGGUAGAUUGUUCCCCUCUGCGGCUCCCGCCCGCGCCAUCGUGGCCUCGAGGAGCCCGCUCCUCCGACGCCCCGACCGCCUGCAUGAUGGUCAGGAUGGAGGCGCGGUCUGGAUCGCUGCAGAGGGGGAGGACUCCUUGAGGAAUGAGGGAUGCCUCCACGGAGCUGAGAUUCAGCACCCGUUGGACCACUAUCUUGAAGUCCUCAGGAGCCCAGUCCCAUCUGACCCCCUGGUGGGUCCUCAUACAGUCCUCGGACCCGGUGUACUCCCAGGCGCCCCGGGCGCGCCGCUGGAGUGGCGCGAUCCGGCGACGAAGAUAGUCGCCGAACACCAUGGCCCCUGUGAGCCCCUGGGAUCGCAGGCCCGCCAGGCGGUCGAGGACGGCGUCGUAGCCAUCUCCCAGAUCUACCGGCGCCCGCCAGUUGGAGGCCUGCGCUGGAGGCUGGCUCGGAAGUCGGAGGCGCGCUUCGUCGGCGAGGGGGGUGUAGAACCAGUCGCUCUUCCAAUCAUCCCACUUCUUGCGGAGGACGCAGGGAAUGUAGCGGUUCAGCACCGGCCCCCGCGGCUGGAAGUAGCAACCACCAACCACCGACGGCGGCGACACCGGCUGUACGGUGAAGAACCACCGGAACAGCCGAAGGGAUGGGCGCACCCCGAUGAACAUCUCGCACAGGUGCGCGAAGAUGGCCAAUGUCAUUACCGCGUUGGGGGUGAGGUGCGCCAUCUGGAGAUCGUAAAACUCUAGAACAUCCAUGAAGAAAGAAGAAAAUGGCGGAACCAGCCCUGCCAUAGCAAAAGGGAGGAAGAAGACGGACCGCCCCGGGUAGCGUGGCGCCGGGCAUCCCUCGCCCAGCGAGACUAUCUCCCGGCCGGUGGCAGAUUCCGGCAUGAAGCGGCGCGGCAGCCCGGCCUGUCUCUCGCUCACGAUGCGGGAAGGCGGCAGCACGCUACCGUCAAGCGGAGCGGAGCCCCGUGCCAUGACGCCGGAAGAAGAGAUGUUUGAGAGCGAGCGCGUGUGGCGAAGGUAGGGCACAGGAAACAAGGGGUUAGGGCGCAAGCGGCGAAGACAAGGGGAAUAAUAGCGAGAGGAAGGAAGCAAAUCUCUUCCUCGGCGACUUUAUACCCUUGCCAACGCUGUGCCCGGCUCCUCGUUUCUCGCGCCCACUAUCUUGCCCCCUCGUUUCUCGCGCCCACGCUUCCACUAAUCCCAUUCGCCCGUUUGCGGUGCAUGAGGUGGAUAUGCGGCUGUGGCAGUCGAGAUGGAACAUCUCGUGCGCGCGUUAAUUACGCUCGCCGACCGAAGCGCCAUCAUCAUAUCUCCAGGAAAAACGAACCGGCUUGUCCCGAUUUUUAGACCGGCCCCACCUGUCACCAGGCCUUAGGAAGUGGCGUCACGCCCGACCGCUUCCCUCGAGGAGGGCGAUCGCCCUGGCAUAACGCCGGGGGCUACUGUCGGUGACAUGGGACCGGGAGUAUCAUGACUUAGAGACUUGAGGCAGACACGAUCACCCACGUGGCCUAACCCCCUCGGGGGGGGGGGGGGGGGUCGGGCCCGAGGGUGAUACGGCCGCCCUUCUCUUUGUCUCCCCGAGGGGUCGGACCACUCCCGUCUCGGCCCCGAGGGCCGAGGCGCCCCGACCCCUUGUGGGUUUUGCGCCGCGUAUAUGAGGUAGGUGAGCGUAGCAGGGCUCACCUAACCACAUUUAUUGCGGUUUGGACGAGCGCGUCACGCCGCAUGUAACGCAGUGCAGCGCGCUCGUUUAUCCGGUCUGUGAUCAGUCACAGACCGGUCAGAUCAUGGGUUAGGUGGCGACAGGCGGUCUGACGCACGCCUCGCCCCAUCCCGUCAGGACGAGAGCCUCCAAGCACUCGUCCCUAGCCGGAGCCGGCGUGUUAGCUCCUGGAGAUGGCACGUUGGUUCCGGUCAGAUAUAUGCCAGGCUUCAUCCUAACCAUUACAGGCAAGAUAUUGUAUGAAGAAGGGCGAACAUGCAGAUUGUUAAACUGACACGUGGUGGACAAGAAUGACCGAUUUGUGACCGGUCUGACAAUGGUCAUGUCGUCAGCAGACAGCCAUGUUCCCACGUCGCGCCUGCUUCCGGCGGAAGUGGAGGUAGGUAUGGGCCGUCCCAUCAGAAGGUCAUUCGGACGGCAGCCAUACAAAUCUCCGUCCAUUAAUGAAGAGAAGUGAAGUAAGAAAGAGAGGGAGAGAUGGUGCAUGUGGUAUCCCCUUGAGAUAUAAAAGGAGGACCUUGCCCACUUAGAGAAAGGGGAGAAAAAAGGAUCCCAGAACGAUUGGGGGCUGGCUCGCACUUUGUAGCUUCUUCAUACACAGAUCCACCAAAACACAAGAGUAGGGUAUUACGCUUCUCAGCGGCCCGAACCUGUAUACAUCGCCCGUGUCUUGUGUGAUUUCACUCUCGCGAACUUUCCACAGACCAAGAGCUUAGAACCUCACCCAGGGCCCCCGGCCGAACCGGCAAAGGGAGGCCUGCGCGGUCUCCCGGUGAGGAGCCCCACGCUCUGUCAGCGUGCGUUCAUAAGGGUGAGUGUGCGCGCGUUAUGAAUGUCAACGUUGUAUUGUGUAAUUCUAAAAAAAAUUAUUUAGAGUUAAGAGUUUUUUUAAGAAAAGAUAUAGCCUUACCCAUACCAAGAGUUAUCCGAGAGUGAAGGCCUCCAAUCCUAUGAGAUCUAGGCCAGACCCUAUGCACCGUUUUCUAUUUUUUGGGUGGCGAGAGGACAUUCCCACUACAACCCCCUCCAGCGGCGAAGCCAAGGCCCAGCGACCCAGGCAAAUUGCCCGGGCUCCACAACUACAUGCAAUCAUGCCCAAUUUCAUAAUAUAAGAAUUUCUAGCAUUGCCCAUAUUCAUAUAGAUAUUAAUGAAUCUAAAAAUUUUAUGCAAAUGUAUAAAAUAUAAAUCGCACUUAAAGUACUAUGAGUGAUAAAACAACCCAUAACAAAAUAAAUUAUAAUUACAUAAAUUUUUUGAAUAAGACGAAUGGUCAAACAUGUGAGAAAAAGUCAACGGUGUCAUUUAUUAAAAAAUAGAGGGAGUAUAUGUCUAGAUUCAUUAACAUAUAUAUGUUGUCUACAUUCAUUAAUAUCUAUAUAAAUGUAAAUAAUGCCAAAAAGUUUUACAUUAUGAUACGGAGGAAGUACUUUAUUUAUUGUUAAAUUUUCUCCAGGCUCGUAAAGAUUUCUGGAUCCACCACUCGCCCCCUCCACGUCCUCCCUUCAGCACAAGCACCACCGCACCGCCAGCCCUCUUCCAGCCAUUUCCGACCACUGGCUUGAUACUUCCCCACUCCCCAUCCUCCACUGCCUCCUUAGGCUCCUUAGCAAGCCAUUAUUACCACUGGCUCGAUACCCUUAGCAAGCCAUUAUUUUUCUUUGGAAUUGUGGUGUUUUAAGUAUUGUUAGUUUGAAUAUGAUUAUUCUAUGCAUGAGAAAUAGUUAAACUAUACACAACAUAGAGUACACAUUAAAAUAUAAGAGAAAAAUAAAUAAAGUUGCUAGAGUUGGAAAAUAUUUUUAGGUCCUCAGGAAAUUGGACCAGCCCCCAUUCCCAAUUCAGCCUGACCUUUUCAUUUUAGGGUUAUGGACUUUUAAAACGAGAGGCUGUUGUCUGAGUUGCUAUUAUGAAACACAUCGAUAGUCUCCAUUCCAUCUGUGCUUGUUUUCGUUGAAAAAAAAUAGGUGGACAAAGAGAAGUAUGAACUAGAAAUUUCAAUGUUUUUCAAUGGACCGUAUACAUGGAUAAUCCGAAGAAAAAAUAUCUUACUUUUCAAACUGAUCACAACGCUGUGAUCAGAGUAUGCUGUACAAACAGGGUAAAAAACACGGUAAAAACACAACAAUGUGAAAAGGAACGCACAGACUUGAUAUAUAGUUUCCUCAGGAGUCCUCUGCGAGAUUAUACAUUUGACGAAAAAUAAAAAUCACAUUAACGGUAGGCCAGUUCUAAUCUCUCUAAACCAUGGCCACAUGAUCAUCGGCAAAAGCUUCUCAAAUAUAAACGAGAUAAAGAGAGCAUCACAUAUUACGAAUUUUUACAUAAAUACCAGGGAGGACGAUCCACAGAUGGACUCAUCUCAAGCAAACAUGAAAAUGGUAACAAGAAUGCCCUCAGAGCUCAUACAAAUAUCCAUCGAUGGUGCGGGAGACAGCCUCAAAUUGUGUGAAGGAUCUGUGAUGCUAAACCACUUCCUGGGAUGAUGGUAAAGUACACAGCCUUAUAUUUGAGGGCACAGGUUGGUAGCUGCAAAUAUGCAGGCAUGGGAAUGAUGAUGUGUGCGAGUUGGGGAUGAAAACGGUCGGAAAAAUGCUCAAACCAUUUCCGUUACCAUAUUUGAGAGAGAGAGAGAGAGAGAGACGCACAGAGCGAGAGAGAGAGAGAGAUGGGUACAGCACUUCCCAGAAAGCCAAACACCAUCUCUGUAUAUCAAGUUUCAUCAUUGGGCUUCAAAUCAAAGCAUGGCACCUACGUAGUGCUAAACCUUGGUGAAACUGCCAAUAUCAAUCAAAUAAAACAAUGAUCCAAUUCAGAAUCGCAAAUACUGGCCAAGCAACAACACAAAGGUACUAGAGAGUAGAAACACAAUAUGAUAUUGAACAGUUAAUAAAAACAAACCUACACAAGCGACAACAAAAAUGUACUAAAAGAAAUGAAGCACUCAUUAUGUGAUAUUAUAACAGAAAAGAAUGCAAAUGAUGAGUCUCUCGUCAAGCCAACAUACCCAAACCUGCUGGAAACAAAAAAUAGAAAGUGUCCAUUUUGAUUAACCCCUUAACACUUGUCCAAGUCCAGGAAUCGCUAACUCAACAAACCGUGGCCAUUCAACAUUACCCACAUAAAUAGUUUCUUUGCUGCCUAGGUGGAGGGGCCAUACCAAAACUUAUAAUUAUGUGCUAAGCAGUGCUGACUCAUCAACAUGUUCACUUGUACACAUUUCACCAGCAUGGUUUUGGGCAAUGGGGAGUUUGUAAUGAUUUUGAUAGAUCAAAGAUGUUAAACAUGCGAUAUUUGUAGUUUUGGGUUGCCGCGAAUGUUCAGGUAAAAUGGCCAAUAGUACAAUAAAAAGAACAUUGACAAAAAAACUUACAACUUGUGCAUGUGCAGGGAAACUUUAUUGAUGGCAAGUCUCUCUGAUGCAUUUCAUUGAUGGCAUAUAUGGUCAGUGAUUUGCCCGCUAAAACUUAUGCAGUACCUGCAUUCCAAACAGAUCCUUCGAUGACAAAUUCCCUACUCGUGCAUGGAUUUUGAGGGAGGAGAGAAGACCAAGUGCCAUCUAUGCAUAUUAAGUUUUUAUUAUUAGGCAAUGCAUUUAGAUAUGCUACUACCAAGCAAAGCAACAUUGUAAAAAUAUGGAAAUAUGAACCUGCUGGUAAUCAAGACCAUGGCUAUCGCAGGCUCUUGAUUCAUCGUAUUAUACAGGAGGUAAUAAAAAAAGGUGGUAAACUAGAUGAGAGAAGGAAUAUCGACAAGAUAUGUUAACACAAAAAAGAGAUAAACAAUGUAGUGGCAUAAGUUGAGGUAUUUUGAAUCUACGAGGAAUAGACAAGGUGGAGAUAUUUGAAUUGUUCUGAACAUCAAUCACUACAUCUGCAGCCAUGAUACAUUAAGUGUGUACUUGUUUGCACGGCAAUGGACCAACUCCGUCAGAUAGUAAAUUUCUGGGAGUUACAUCAGGCUAUUAAGGAGACACAGAGUCUGAGAGGCAAGCAACAAAACUAAAAGAUCCAAACAAAAAGAUUGAAAGGUCGAUAUUACCAAAUGGCCCUCUGAUUUCACAACUUUGUUUUUCAUCUUAGGCUGGCUAAUGCGGCAGCCCUCAAUGCUGGCACUGAAGCAUGUCUCAAGGGAACGGCAGAACUGGAUGAUGAUGAUCGAUGACGACGACAACGACGACAACUGCCACAGCAGUGGCAGGAGCGGAGGAGGACGAAGAAGAAGAAGAGAAAAAGAAAGAAAGAGAGCUACUUUUCCAAAGCAGAAGCAGCAGCAGAAACCAUGGUCCUGCCAAUUGCGCGGACCGACAUGUCAGUGUUUCUCCAACCCCUGAGCAUGCUUCAGCGCCCAGAUCAUUGAGGAGCCAACGCCACACUAGCCAUUUUCAGCUCAACCCAUUGCAGAUGCAAAGGGCAACCCCAUUAGAGCUCAAGUCCGAGCCGAUCUAUCUAUCCAUCCAUCCAUCAACCAAUCGAUUUAUCGAUUCACGAGGGUCUUAGUCACAAUCAUCAUUGGGCCAAUGGCGAAUCCAGGCAAAAACGAGAGAGAUCAGAGGCACCAUGCCACAGUGAAAACGAAACAAGCGAAAUGCAUAAGAGACAGGUGCACCAGAAAAAGGACCAUCCAUGGAUGGACUCAUCUCAAACGAACUGGCAAACGUGCCAUAAGAAAAAUAAUGCCCUCAGAACUCACAUACACAGUAUCCAUUGAUGGUGCAGGAGACAGCCUCAAAUUGUGAGCAAGGAAAUGUGAGGCUGAAUGAAUUCCUGGAAUGAUGAUGGAAGGUUAAGCUAGCUAGCUACACAUGCACAAUCAUUGGAAUGAACCAUUCCAAAUGAUGACAUGUACGAGAGAGAGAGAGAGAGAGAGAGAGGAGAGAGAGAGAGAGAGAGAGAGAGAGAGAGAGAGAGAGGACGGAUGGAUGGAUACAGAUCAUACAGCACUUCCAGGAAGCAAAACACCAUCUCUGUAAAUCAUGUUUCAUCACUGGGCAUUUAAAUCAACUAAAUCAAAGCAUGGUACCUGUUAUUCUACUGCAGAAGGUACUAAAUUUAGGUGAAAUUGCUAGUCUGAAUCAAAUAAAACAUUGGUCCAAUUCAGAAUCAAAUCCAGAUGCUCUGCAAAGGUGGGGAAACAUAUAUGACUACGUGGUCUUGAACAAGGAAAACUUCAACCAAGAGAAAAGGAGGGGAAAUCGUGCAAGUGAGAAUUUUCCUUUUUUAAAAAGGAAAGUCAUAAAAAAGAGGGGAAGUCACGUUCUUGAUUGAUUGUAUGAAGGGGAUUAAGAAAGGAAGCAAAUGAGUUAUUUCUCAAAAUAUCAUGGCUCAUAAGUGGAUAGUGAUUUGGUUUUAUGAUAUGGACGACUGUCAUGAAGUCCAAAAGGUACCACUUCAAUACACUCUGGUUUCUUGAACAAAAUAAAUAACAUGGCAAUGAAAAAAAUAACAAAUGAACUUAUCACAGUGUAAAUAAAGUAAUAAACUAGUCAAUCUGCAGAAUGAAAACCCUCAGAAGCUCUAGCCUAGAAAAGGUGUCGAACUUAUCACUUGGAGCACAAACACAAGCUGACUUAGAAUAAGUCAAUAAGAGUAUCUAGGAACCGUCAUCUGGGAAGAGUUAAAGAGUCAGCUCUGCUGGGUGUCUAUCAGUUAAAAAUGAGACGAAAAUACUGGCCGAGCAACAAACAGAAAGGUUAGAGUAGAAACACAAUAAACAGUUUAACAGAACAAACCUACACAAACCACAGCAAAAAUGUACUGAAGGAAGUGCAAAUGAAAAGCCUCUCAUCAAGCCAACAUAUUCAAACUUGCAGGGAACAAAAUUUUGAAAGUACUAAGUCCAUUUUGAUUAACCCCCUCAACUCUUGCUCAAGUCCGCAAGUUAAAAAACAGUGACCAUUCAAUAUUUGUACCCACGUAAAUAGUUUCUUUGCUGCCUAGGUGUGUUUUGAGUAUGAUGUGAGGAGCCAUGCAAAUUUUUAUUGUGCUAAUUGAGCAUUUCACCGGGUCCACUACGUCCAUUUGUACGCAUUUCACCGGAUUGGUUUCAGCAAUGGGAUGAGUUGCAAUAACUUUGAUAGUUCUUGAACAUGUAGUUUGGGGUUGACCAGGAAGUUGAGGUGGUAAAAUGGGCAAUAGUAGACUAAAAAUAUCGAAAAAACAUACAGCUUGUGCAUUUGCAAGGAAUGUUAUGCCCUCAAGACUCACUUAUGCAUUUCAUUUAUGGCAACAUAUAUGGUAUCUGAUUUUCCCGCUAAAACUUAGCGGUACCUGUAUUCCAGACAAAUCCUUUUGAUGGCAAUUCCCAACUGCUGCUGCUGCUGCUGUCACAUGAGGGGGGAGAUAGAGGGGGGAGGAGGAGCCGAGGAGGAGGAGGAAACCAUGUGCCAUCUCUGCAUAGUAAGUUUUCAUCAUUGGGCAAUGCAUCAUCAUGCUACUACCAACCAAAGCAACAUGGUAAGAAAAAAAAUAAUAUGAACCAGAUGGUAGUCAAGAUCAUGCCUAUUGCAGGCUCUUGAUUCAUCACAUUAUACGGGAGAUGAUAAAAAAUAAUAAGGAAUACAAAAUGAGACAAGGAUGAACCAGAACGUAUGUAACAGUAUGAUCCUAAUGCCCUCUGGCUUAAGACAUAAAUGCACCUCUGCAUUUCAAGAUGACACAAGAGACGGGCAUCCAAUUUGUAAAUCAAAAUUAGAACUCGACGAGGCAUGUUAACACAAAAAACAGAAACAAUGUAGUAGCAUAAGUUGAGAUAUUUUUGCAAUUGCUAGCAAUAGACAAGUGGAGAGAUGUGAACCGUUCUGAAGAUCAAUCACUCAGACAUCUCCAACCAUGAUACAUUACGUGCGUGCUGUUUACACGGCAAUGGACCAAUUUCGUGCAUUACAUCAGGCUAUUAAGUAGACACAGAGAGUCAGAGAGGCAAGCAACAAAACCGAAAGAUCCAAACGAGAAGACAGAAAGGUCUGUAUUACCAAUUGGCCCUCAGAUUUCACAACUUCGUUUUCCAUCUUAGGCUAAUGCGGCGGCCCUCGACGCUGGCACUGGAGCAUGUCUCAAGGGUACGGCAGAAGAGGACGAUGAUGAUGAUGCACGACGACGACGACGACCCGCCGCAGCGGUGGCAAGAGAGGAGGAGGAGGAGGAGGAAGAGGAGAAAAAAGAAAGAAAAAGAGCAGGUUUUAUAGUAUAGCAGAAGCAGCAGUAAACCAUGUUCCUGCCGCGUGGGCGGGCCCACAUGUCAGUGCCUCUCCGACCCCCCCAGCAUGUUUCAGCGCCCAGAUCAUCGAGGAGCCAACGCCGUACUAGCCAUUCUCGGGACCUCAACCCGCUUGCAGAUGCAAAGGGCGAGCCUCAAAUCCGAGCCGAUCUAUCUAUCCAUCCAUCAACCAACCAACCAAUCGAUCGAUUCGCGAGGGUCUAAAUCGCAAUCAUCAUCGGGCCAACGGCAAAAUCCAAGCAAAACGAGAGAGAUCAGAGGCAUCAAGCCACGGCGAAAUCGAAGCGAGCGGAAAUGCAAAGACGAGACGGUAGGGGAAGCGGAUACGAGUAAACCUCCCGCCGAAGCGGGGCCGGAGGCCGGAACCCCGGUUGAUCGGAUCGGCGAGCUCCCCGUGGCCGGCGGGGGCUCCGGAGGAUCGGAGAGCACGAGGGAUUGCGGCCUCUCCGCCUCCGCGAGACAACCCGAAACCCUAGUUUUGCCCGUGCUCUCGCGUUCUCUCCCAUCUCUCUUCCCUCUUCCCGGUUGCUGCCUUUCGAGGCUACCAAUGGCGCGACUCCCAAAGAAGGCAAGGCCACGCGGCAGCCGCAUCGGCGCGGUGUGGUCAUGUGGGCCGGGCCUGGUUCGACGUGGGCGGAAGUUUUAGCCCAUCUGUGUUUCUAUAUGGGCCGUAAAAUCACCUGGGUCAUCGUGUGCUCGGCCCAUAUUGUCUCCAAGAGCUCCCCUACCAGCGAUUACAGGCUUACAGCGUGUGAUCAUGGCACUUCUAUAUCCUAUUUCCUUCAAAUUUAAAACCGGGUAGGGGUAGUGUCACUAAACUCGUAUUUGGAUCCGUGGGUAGAGUUUGAUGAUUUUUGUUUAAACUUGUACUUGAAAAAACAAUCUAUAGGGAGUAGUGAACAAAGUCUGUGAAAAUGAAGAUAUUUACUUCAUAUUUUUUUAGCUCCAGUGCUUCUAAAAGAGUAAAUUAUAUCCAUGGUAUAUCAAUUUGGUAGAUAGAUGCAAUUUAGUACAAGAACUUGAGAAGUGAGCGUUGUAGUGCAACAACUAAUUAAUAGAUAGGUGCGAUUUAGUGUAAAAACUUAACAAAUUGUACUAAAUUGCAUACGGGUGCUACAACUUGCAAGGUGCGUGUGAUUAUAGUACAAUAACUUUAAAAAUAUAUGUAACAACAUUUAAUUAUUUUGAUCAUUUUUUACCAUAAAUAUUCAAAUUUUAGGUAUUAAUUUUUUAAUAUACUCAUGGAAUUUGUAGAAGCAUACUUCAAUUUAGUCGCUCUAGUAACUAACAAUCAAUUAAAUUUUAAUAUCUAAAUAAUAUGUAUUCCGGUUGAGAUUUUAAAAGGUGAAGAAAAAAAAUCCAAGAUGAUGGUGUAAAUCGGAUGAGAAACAUAAUUCUUGAAUUAUAGAUUAAAUUCAAAAUUAUAAUGGAAUAUCCACAGUAUUGCUAUGUGAUGGCAUAUUUUCAUAUUGAUAUCAUAAAAAAAACUCAUCUAGCAUUUAUUGACCAAAAUAACAUAUAGAUAGCCGAGUUACUGCACCAAAAUAGUAAGUUCUCAAGUUGGUACACUCAUCUAGCAUUUAUUGACCAAAAUAACAUAUAGAUAGCCGAGUUACUGCACCAAAAUAGUAAGUUCUCAAGUUCGUGUACCAGACGCACUCACUUGCUAAGUUAUUAGGGCAUCCACAAUGUACUCCAAAAGUAGUCCAUAAGCAAUAUAAUAUUUGAUUCAGCCACCUAGCAACAUUGUGAAACUAGUCCAUAGAAAAGAAAUAACAAAAGCUACCCAUAAGUAUAUGGGCUGCCCAUAGAGAAUAAAAUAUAUUAUUUGUCUCUAUCUCUUCUCUCCUACUAAUACUAUUUGCUAUCCAUAUACAUUAUGAAGGUUACAAUAGUUAAAGUUCAUAUAUGUGGGUCCCAUCUCUAUGGACUACUUUUGCCAUAUACAUUGUUGUUGCCCUUACACUUGGACGCUCAAUUUUGAAGUUAUUGUACUAAAUUGUAUCCACUUGCCAAAUUAUUAUACCUGGAGUGCAAUUUACUCUUUUUAAAAUAUUUGCAGGUCCAUUGCUGCUUCACUCACUCAUCAGUCAUCACGAAUCCAUAUCAGCUAUUUAUCUCAAAAGAAAAAAGAAAAAAGAAUCCAUAUAGCUACCGAGCCCAGGUUCUACCCGCUGAAAACCAGACUCGGUAAAGCCAUUGGAGGAGAAAUCCUAUUCUCUUCCACAAUCCGCCGGUAUAUCUCCAUUCCAGAUUCGAUCUGUGCAAGCGACACUUCUUACGGCGCGUGACUGCAGCCACAAUGCGAAAGAAGAAGGGAUCGGAUUACACCAUCAUUACUCGUACUAUGGGGGAAUCCAUUACGCUUCUCCUCCUCAUAGUGGGAUUCCGCCGCGUCGUCCCAUCAUGCUGUCCAACGAUUCGAUCCGGCAAAGAAAAGCGAAGGGACAAAGAACGAAAUUGUUCCACCUGAAUUAUAGGGAAGUAAUGCUCUUUACUAUGCUCGCAUCUACAAGCCACUCUCCAGUCUCCACUCAACUGAAUAGACAGAGAGAUGAGAUUUUAUUCUUUGCUUCCCUAUCUGAAUAUGCAGUCACACCAUGUUUAGUUUUUAAAUAAUUCUUUAAACUUCCAACUUUUCCAUCAUAUCAAAACUUUUCUACAUACAAACUUCCAACUUUUCCGUCAUAUCGUUUCAAUUUCAACCAAACUUUUAAUUUUAGUGUGAACUAAACACAGGCUCAAUAUCAUUUCUCAUGUCGAAUAAACUGGUGGAAAAUUAACUCGCAAACACAUAGUAGUACUGAAGAAACUUCAUCAAGAAGUAAUAGGACUACGAGUAAUGCUCCCUUAAAAACACCUGAUUUGAUGGCCUCUCCAAUUACGUGCCACCCAGCGACGAGAUCACGAGACCACUCGCCCUGCACAAGGCAAAGUAUAGGCAUCAGUGCAUCACCAUCAUCAUCAGAUAGAUAUGCACACUGUCACCAUUAUGGGAACAAUGAGAACGGGGCACUACUGAUUUGCACAAAGAAUUACUCCACCAUGCACCACAUAUAUUCAAUUAUUUUCCUUCACUCGUGCUCUCCAAGCAUGCCACAACAACAUGUUCCAUGGAAGAAAGAAGGAGGAUUUCAUUUCGGUUUCCAGUAUGAUGUGCAUUCCAGCUCAAUCACAUUCUCCCAUCACCAAGAAAAAUACUCAUUCUUCUCAUCCAGUCACACUCAUCAUGGGUCCGUCCAUAAGUACUCAUCCUUUUACUAUUUUAAUUGCUCCUCCUAGCUGUACUACUCAUUGUUGUCACCACAGAAAUGUAUCUUCUUCCUCUCCAAUGGAAAGAGCUCAGCUUAAAGAGAGCUAAGACACCCAGCUUUAUUCAGGAGAUAAAAAAGAAAGAAGAAAGCACAGGUACAUGUGCAAUGAUUCUCCCAUUAGUCACAAACACUGUAUUUCGCGCGGCAAGCAAGGGGACAUUUGUAAAUGAUGCCAUGAUGAUACAUUGUGGUUGUGGCAAACCUUAUUAAAAUGGUAGUAGCAGUAGUAGUACAAAGUAGUAGGAAGAGUAA
rnacentral:lncRNA from 1 species